UUAGUAGCAGCAAAAGUGUAGUUGCUCCUUCAGCUGCACAAUUCAUGUGACGCAAGGAACAUGAAGCUUUUAGCCAGGAAGUGAUGGCUCUCCAGUUUCCAGCUACCCCUAUGCUGAUUUGCGUCCUUUAGCUCUGGUUUGCUCUGCCUCUGCUCAGGGUAUGUUUUUGGCUCUGCUCAUGGUUUGCAUCAUCAUUAUCAUAAAUCUGCUCAUGGUGAAUCAAACAAUCAUAGUAGAGGUUUCUUUUGCAUGAUACCAAAUAUAUUCCCAAUUUAUUACAUCAUUUUAAAGCACAAAAUAAAAGGACAGAAUGCUAACUCUUUAUACCUCAUACCUCACUGUACUACUCAUUUUUGUGGUGAUGGGCUCAUCAUAAUUAUCUGUUUCUAUUUCAUUAUGGUGAAUUGCUUGAAGUGAUAAAUAUUCAUGUAUGAUCAACGGUGAAGCUUGUGGUCGUGACGCGACACCUCUGGCAGCUCGAUGACGACAUGUUGCUGCCUGUGUCACCGGGUCUGCGAGACAGUAGAAGGCAGCAACAAUGAUGCCGACGACCAGGGACACCAGCGCGACGAUGACAGCUGCUGCAAUAAGCCCCUGAAGCCACGGCGGAAUAGCAGGGCUGGGACCGGGGGGAGGUAGCAGGGGAGGUGCAGUUCCAUUGAGCAGUGGAUUCACGAUCUGCGCCGAUGCUGUUACAUUGAACCAGAACAAAUCGAAGUGUUAGUUCUUUUCUUUUCUUUUUUAAACGAAUCGGGCAGGAGAGCUGCCAAUUAUAUUAAAAAAGAAGAAUACACCUAGAUUGGGCACAACAACAAAACAACCGAACACCAACACCGGUCAGUUGGAUUGGGACAUCAACACACCCGCACAACUCAACUCAACUCCACCUGACUCACCAAACCGCACCACCACAACCUGAGAGAAUAGCUGACAAGUGACACUCAUCGCAAGCGUCAUCAUCCCUGACGAUGUCCCACGCCAACCAGCCGGUGCCAUGCAGAACUAGCCGCCGGAGACCGCUGCAAGCCAUGUAGUUACCAUGACUGCCGUCAUCUUCAGGCCACACACACGAUCAUCGAUCUUCCAACCACGGUCUUGCAUUGGCAGAAGUCAGAAGAGGAGCCCACCACACCUCACCGAAGAAGCCACCGCCGUGCAGAACCCCUCGCUGAAGUAUCGUUGUUGCAUUUUACACGCCAAAAUGACCGAAGCACUGCACCGGAUCCUGAACCUUUGAGGCAACGCAGGACGCAUGGGGGCUCGCCACAUCCACUGCCGCACAACACUCCUCGGACUCUCCUCGGACACACCACUCCUCAAGCACACCACCUUAAAGCGCACGGGGCCUCCCCUCUCCCGCCGCUGGACUCUUCAAAGAUCCGGGUUUUCUUCGCCAUCAAGGGUGACUUGGUACCACUGAGCCGCACCAGAAGCUUCACCUUUGCCUUACUGUCACCGAGAUCACAGCUGCACCACACAUGCAGACCCAAAUCUUCCGGAAAGCAUGGGCCCUCCGCUCCUCCUCGCUGACACAGUCCCUUCCUGCACCUCCUCACUCGCAGCCACGACGCCUCGAUCACCACCACCACGCGUGCGAUCACUCCAGCACACUCUGUCGCCGUCUCCGCCACGCCUGCGCUGCAAAAAUGGCCUCGCGCUACCAACCACACCUCCAUGGCAUCAUUGGCACGCCACUGGGCAGGCCAGCGCCAACCAUACCACCAUGGUGUCGCUGACGAGACCCGCGCGAACCAUUCUUGGCUGCGCUACCAUAUCGCCUCCAAGCCGCGAAGAGCUGCAUCCUCGACGUGCUGCCGCCGACACCCAUUCCGCACACCACCGCGCCGCUCAAAGGUUCGCCGCCUGCGCACCUGUGCACCACCACGCCGCUCCCAGGUGCGUUCCUCCCGGCCGCCGCACACGUGCCUUCGUGGCCCACACCGGCCGCCAUUACUGAGGUCAGCUUGCUCGUCAUCUUCUCCCAUGCCCGUAGCUUCACCCCCUUUGCCUUGGCCUCUGGCUUCCUUCCUCCACCUCUUGGGCCCGUUGAUCCCCCCGCCAGGCGGCGAGGCCUCCGCGCCACGCACCCCAUGAAGCUACUGCCAGAGCCCGACGACGAAGACGUGCCGAACAACCGCCGCCCGGAGCAGCCACCACCACUGCCCCCCCCCCCCCCGUGGGUGAAGCCACCGCCGCCGCGCCUGGCGGUGGCCCAGGAUCCGGCCUCGGGGGCCCCGGGAUACAACCUCGCCAGCAUGGCCGCGUGCCGCCCGCCCCGCGUGGGGGAAGCGGCCACCGCCGCCGUGCCCGGUAUCAGAUCUGGCACCAGGAACCCCGGAUCCGGCCGCGGGAGCUCCGGAUCCGGCCUCGCCGGCACGGCCGCGUGCCGCCCGACAGCGAUUCCAUCCGACAUCCCUGGCGGCCGCGCCCACGAGGAGAUAGAAGGGGAGAAGAAGGACGCCCCGCCGCCGCCGUCCUCAUGAGCCGCGCGGGCUUUCGGUGGCCGGCUCGGGCGGUGGCGCGGCGGUGAAGAGAGGGAGGAAGGGGCGGCAGCGGCGAGGUUGUCCGCCCGUGUCGCUCACGCAGGAGCGACGCGGGGGCACCCAAACUUAAGUCAUACUGUUUUGAAGAACUCAGUAGUUACAGUCAAGUGUUAGUUCUUUUCGGCUUAGGUGAUGAAGUCUAUGGGUAGAAGCUUUGUUUUUCACCUUUGUUCUAUAGAACAAGUGGACGGGUUUGAUAUAUUGGAUUAGUAAAUUGCAUUUGCUUCCACAUUCGACAGCGAUGGCCAUAGUACCACAGACCUUGACCUUGUGUCCGGGCAAGAGAUAAGGCAGAAUUCAAUACUGUUAGGUGUAAUGUGCCAUCGUUACAGUUGCAUGGGCCACGAACGAUAGGGUUCCACGGUGACCUCUUCUACUAGCUCUCCAGUCUAUUAUUGCCUUCGACCCUGGGGCAUGGAGAUUAGGCAGAAUUCAAUAUCCUUGUUAGGUGUAAUGUGCCAUCGUUACAGUUGCAUGUCACUGGCUUGAUAGAAAGCAUUCGCUAGAGGAUGCUAGAUGGCCCAUUCCCCGCGCUAGAGGGCGGAGACCUUGACCCGCUCGGCCGCAGACGCCAACCACAGAUGUCCUGCUCAACAAUGACAUAUCUACAGCGAAUAUUGUCCAUUCAAUGGUUGGAAGGAUACUCUCUUCUUAUACAAGGUUAGGUCAUUGGAUGAGGGCACUGAAAUUCCAAGCUUUGCUGAGAUCCAACGCUGUUGCAAGGGGGAAGUAUUGGUGAAUCUAUAUACAAACUUUGCUGCACGAUUUCAUUUUGUCGCUGCUCAAGUGAUGUCAAUAAGAGGAGAAACAGGGAUGAUGGUUCAGUAGGAAGUGAUAUUUGGGUUUUCAACUGGCUCCUCUGUUUCUGCGUUGUUUAAUUUGGUAAGCUCAAAUUGAAUGUCUGGUCCAUAAAGGGUUCAGAUGUUUUCUUUCCUCUCUCUAUCUUCCUAAGUCACGCUUCAUAUACGUGUCUUGAUCAUGCACUUAUUUCUUCUCAUUUCGUUGAUCAUGCACUUGUUUUCUGCCAGAGAAUUCAUUUUCUAGCUAGUGUCUCCACUUAUCUGUUGGUUUCGGUGAUUGUGUGGUUGUCACACAUUUAUCUGUUCUAUACAUUGUCCACUUUUUUCUGCCAGAGAAUUCAUUUUCUCGAUGCUCAAGUGACGCCGAUAAGAGGAGGAACAGAGAGGAUGCUUCAGUAGGAACUCCUUGCGUUUUCAUCCUCCUCCUCUGUCUCUGCAUCAUAUCCUUUCAGUUUGGUAAGCUCGAUUUCAACAGUUAGUCCAUAACGAUUCAGAUUUCAUAAUCUUUCUCCUCCUAGUUCAUGCCUGAUUUGCAUGUGUUGAUUAUGCGCCACUUCAUUUUUCUUUCUGUCGGAGAGAUGAUUGAAGAGUGAAGUGAUCCCGUGCGGAACCCUGUGGAUACACCUUCCGCCUGCUGAUUAGUAGGAGCAAAAGUGUAGUUACUCCUUCAGCUGCACAAUUCAUGUGACACAAGGAAGAUGAAGCUUUUAGCCAGGAAGUGAUGGCUCUCCAGUUUCCAGCUACCCCUCUGCUGAUUUGCGUCCUUUAGCUCUGGUUUUCUCUGCUUCUGCUCAGGGUAUGUUUUUUGCUCUGCUCUGGUUUGCUCUUAUCAUGGUUUGCAUCAUCAUUACGAUAAGUCUGCUCAUGGUGAAUCAAACAAUCAUACUAGAGGUUUCCUUUGUAUGAUACCAACUAUUGUCCCAAUUGAUUACAUCAUUUUAAAGCACAAAAUAAAAGGACAGAAUGCUAAUUCUUUAUACCUCAUACCUCACUGUACUACUUUUUUUAAAGGAACCGGGCAGGAGAGCUGCCGAUUAUAUUAAAAAAAGAAUACACCCAGAUUGGACACAAUAACAAACAACCGAACACCAACACCGGCCAGUUAUAUUGGGACAUCAACACAGCCACAGAACUCAGCUCAACUCCACCCGACUCACCAAACCGCACCACCACAACCAAGUGACACUCAUCGCAAGCGCCGUCAUUCCUGACGAUGUCCCACGCCAACCAGCCGUUACCAUGUAGAACUGGCCGCCGCAGACCGCUGCAAGCCAUGUAGUUACAACGACUGUUCCAUCAUACCAUCAUCAUCUUCAGUCCACACACACGAUCAUCGAUCUCCCAACCACGGCCUUGCAUUGGCAGAAGUCAGAAGAGGAGCACACCACACCUCACCGAAGAAGCCACCGCCAUGCAGGAUCCCUCGCCAAAGUAUCGUUGUUGCACCUUACACGCUAAAACGACCGAAGCACUACACCGGAUCUUGAACCUUCGAGGCAACGCAGGACGCAUGGGGCCUCGCCACAUCCACCACCGCACAACACUCCUCGAACACACCACCUUAAAGCGCAUGGGGGCCUCGCCUCUCCUGCCGUUGGACUCUUCAAAGAUCCGGGUUUGCUUCACCAUCAAGGGUGACUUGGUACCACCGAGCCGCUCCAGAAACUUCACAUUCGCCUUACCAUCACCGGGAUCACAGCUGCACCACAAAUGCAGACCCAAAUCUUCCAACAAGCAUGGGCCCUCCGCUCCUCCUCGCUGACAUGGUCCCUUCCUGCACCUCCUCACUCGCAACGACGCCUCGAUCACCACCACCAAAUGUGCUGCCACUCCAGCGCACUCUGUCGCCAUCUCCGCCACACCUACGCUGUGAAGAUGGACCUACGCUACCAACCACACCUCCAAGGCACCUUUGGCACGCCGCUGCGCAGGCCAGCACUAGCCAUAUCACCAUGGUGUUGCUAGGGAGACCCGCGCGAACCACCCUUGGCUGCGCUACCAUAUUGCCUCCAAGUCACGCAAAGCCGCAUCCUUGACGUGCCGCCGCCAACACCCCUGCUGCACACCACCGCACGGCUCCAAGGUGCACCGCCUGUGCACCUGUGCACCACCACGCCGCUCCCAGGCACGUUCCUCCCGGUCGCCGCACACGCGCGUCCGUGGCCCGCGCCAGCCACCUCUACCGAGGUCAGCUUGCUCGUCGUCUUCUCCCAUGCCUGCAGCUUCACCCCCUUUGCCGUGCACCCCAUGAAGCUGCUGCCGGAACCCGACGAUGAAGACGCGCUAGACGACCGCCGCCCGGAGCAUCCACCACUACCGCCACCCCCGCAUGGGGGAAGCCGCCGCCGCCGCACCUGGCAAUGGCCCAGGAUCCGGCCGCGGGGGCCCCGGGACGCAGCCUCGCCAGCACGGCCGCGUGCGGGCCGCCCCACAUGGGGAAAGCCGCUGCCGCCGCCCCCGGUGUCAGAUCCGGCACCGAGAACCUCGGAUCCAGCUGUGGGGGCUCCGGAUCUAGCCUUGCUAGCACGGCCGCGUGCCACCCGACGGCGGUUCCCUCCGACAUCCCUGGCGGCCGCGCCUGCUAGGAGAUAGAAAGGCAGAAGCAGUCCACCCCACCGCCGCCAUCAUCGAGAGCCGCGCGGGCUUCCGGCAGCCGGCUCAGGCGGCGGUGGGGAGAGGGAGGAAGGGGCAGUGGCGGCGAGGUCAUCCGCCCGUGUCGCUCACGCAGGAGCGAUGCGGGGGCAGCAGGCUUGCAAGAGCGAAAUCGUGCCACGGCAAAUAAUUGAUACCUCACUGUACUACUCAUUUUUGUGGUGAUGGGCUCAUCAUAAUUAUCUGUUUCUAUUUCAUUAUGGUGAAUUGCUUGAAGUGAUAAAUAUUCAUCACCCUCCUAGUACAAUUGGUAGCAUACAAGCAUGAAUGCUACAUCCACUUUACUCCGCUAUAGUGAGGAAAAGCAGAGGAGGAUGUGAGGCAAUGUGGUUUGGGAGAGAGUACUGUCUUUGUAAGAGGUGCAUUUCCUUCAUUUCUUAUCUGCCUAUUAAUUGGUUAGCAUGAUGUGUUCCAUUAAGAUUAAUUCGUAGUUACGACGUGUCAAGUAGUCUCACAAACUUGCGUUGCAGUUGCAGGGGUGUAUCGUUGUCUGUUGAGAUUUUUUUUUACGAGGAUACCAGUGUGAAUUCUGUCGAAUUUACUGCCUUACACUGCUGCUUGAAGUGAUCCUCUGAGUCUUCUCCUGUCAAGGAAGAAUAAGGUCAUCUGCAUCACUCAACAAUUAGAGAACAGAAGAGGGUGUCGUUGCUGCUGCUCUGGUAGUGCACACAGGCCUAUACUAUCCAGAGAUUCUUUAUUUCUCAAUUCAACCAGCCUGCUGAGUUUUAUCCAUUUUUCUUUCCCUUUCAAGCAGAGUAAUCAUGCAUGACUCUUUCAUGGUGAUGACCACAUAUUGGUUAUCGCUGUUCAGUUCAUUGAGGGAUAUUAUUUGAGCAAUUCAUCUUUGUUCCCCUUCCUUCACUAUUUAGUUGACCUUCAGCAAGAAACUGUUGUUGCUGGUGGUGGAUGAUCUUGCAUCCUUGACUUCUAUUGUCAGUCAGGCCUGUUGAAAAUAGGUCCUUGAUUUAGGUAAGCCAUGUGCACUUGAGCACGCUGGAAUCUUCUAACUUCUUUCAAGCAUCGUUGCAAGUUACGUCCAUUUGCCAUUCAUGGAAAUGAAAUGCUGCAGCCUCCUAUAUUAUUUUGACUUGCAAUGUAACAUUACUAGCACUUGAAAGGUCAGGUUUUGUGGAGUGGAUUGAUGGAUGACAGAAACUAAAUGAGUCCAUGAACUCUUGAAUGUUUAAGCUGUUUUUAGUGUGAGAGGUAGGGUUGGAAAUGUGUGACCGGUUAGGUUGCUAGAAAGGAAACCUUGCUGGAAUAUGCACAGCAGUCGGUUUGAGUCAUUUGUUGUUUAUCUUUCUGUUUAGCUGAGCAGGCACUACCACACUAGUGCUUAAGUAAGAAAUAAAUGUGCACACUAGUAAACUUGAAAAAUAAGGAGUAUACUUUACACAUGCAGAUAUAACUGUAAAUCAAAGUACAAACUGGUAAACUUAGUCAACUCCAGGCAGAAGCCUGAGUUCUGGAAGGCUAGGUGCUAACUUCAACAUGUUCCUACUUUAUUCCAGAGACAAUCUUAAGGUUCUGGCAAGGAAUAGUCUUCAAGCAGGAUGGACCUGUUUGUAUAGCAGUCAGUCCUUAUUGUAGAUGAAGUUAUACUUGCAAAAAAAACAAGAAUAAUAUCCAUAAAUGGCUAAAGUGAAAGGAAAUCAAAGAUGCAUUGCAUGGGUUUUAGUUUAGAAGAUAUAAGGGAGCCUAAAAUUCAUGGAUGGAUGCACCUAACUCCAUCUAAGAUGGUUUUGUCUAUCGGCCCGCUAGUGCAUGGUAUGAAUUUUUUCUAGGUGCUUUCAUCAUUUACAUAUCGUUUAUUCUCUUUGCAAUCGGUGUGAGAUCCUGUUCAAUAGUAGUUUACACAAUAUGAUGAGUACUCACAGUAGCAUGUAGUGCUGUACAUCUUUCAAGUGCGACAGAUUUGACUUAUUGCUGUAAACUUUAUAAUUUUUAGGUCCAAGUUCAAUUGUUUAUGCAAUAACACUGUGAAAGCUUGUUCGAGGAAUCUCACUAGCUAGUUCCUCAUAUUGCUAGUUUUCUUUGCUCCAAAAAGAUAUAUUGGUGGUGGUGGGUCUACUUCCAGGAUUCACCUAAUGGCAACCAUAUUAUUUUCUUUUGUGGGAUCAUGCAUCCAAAAGCUCCAAGAAAUUAUUACAGAGGAAGCAAUACAAAUAUUAGGUGUUAAACAAGUGCUCAUUGACCUGCAACAAACAAUGACACAAAUACAAUGUUAUCUCAGAGAUGCGGACCGGAGGAGGAUUGAGGACUUAGCAGUUCGUAAUUGGAUUGGUGAAUUGAAGGAUGCAAUGUAUGAUGCUGAUGAUAUAAUUGACUUGGCCAGGGCUAAAGGGAGCAAGCUACUAGGAGAAAACUCAUCAUCAUUAUCAAGAAAAUUAACUCCAUGCAAUGGUUUUCCACUUAUCUCUUGCUUUUCAACAAUUUGGACACGUCGUCAGAUUUCUGUACAGAUUAGAAUCAUCAACAAAAGAAUAGAGAGGAUUGCAGAAUUAGGUACAAAAUUCAAGUUUGACAUAGAACCAGUUGCCAGAAUUUCAAUUAUAGGAAAAACAUCCUGCCUUGUUGAACCGAACCUUGUGGGAAAGGAAACUUUACUUGCCUGCAGAAAAAUGGUGGAACUGAUUAUUUCACAUGAGAAAAAGGAGAUAUACAAGAUUGGUAUUGUUGGGACAGGAGGGGUUGGGAAAACGACUUUGGCUCAAAAAAUAUAUAAUGACCCCAAAAUAAAUGGAACCUUUAGUAAACAAGGAUGGAUUUGUAUUUCAAAAGACUACUUUGACAAAGAUCUCUUGAAACAAGUUCUUCGAACCUUUGGAGCACACUACGAGCAAGACGAAACUGUGGCAGAGCUCAGCGUAAAGCUUGCAACAACUGUUAGAAAUAAAAGUUUCUUCCUUGUGUUGGAUGACAUUUGGGAGCACGAGGUAUGGACUAAUCUACUGAGACAACCAUUAGACACUGCAGAAAAAGGAAUAAUUCUGGUUACAACUCGAAAUGAUCUAGUUGCACGUGCAAUUGGUGUGGAAGAAGAUGUGCAUCGAGUUGAGUUGAUGUCAGCAGACGUAGGAUGGGAGUUACUUUGGAGGAGUAUGAACAUCAGUGAAGAGACUACAUUGCAGCACCUAAAGACUAUGGGGAUUGAGAUUGUUCAAAUUUGUGGUGGCCUUCCUCUUGCUAUCAAGGUCAUUGCUAGUGUUCUAGCAACUAAAGAAAAGACUGAGAAUGAAUGGAGAAAAGUUAUAAAUAAAAGUUCACCAUCCAUGAGCAAACUUCCUGUUGAGCUCAGAGGAGCUUUGUAUUUGAGUUAUGAUGACCUACCGCAGCAGUUGAAGCAAUGUUUUUUGUACUGUGGUUUGUAUCCCGAAGAUUUUAUCAUGGAUCGUGAUGACCUUAUCAGGUUUUGGGUUGCUGAAGGUUUUGUAGAAGAGCAAAAGGGAAAACUUUUAGAAGAUACAGCAGAUGAAUAUUACUACGAAUUGAUAUAUAGAAACCUCCUUCAACCAGAUGUUGAUUUUGUUGACCAUUCUAAGUGCAAAAUUCAUGAUAUGUUGAGGCAACUUGCUCAACACUUAUCAGGAGAAGAAGUGUUUUGUGGAGACUCUGAGUUAUUGGAGGCUAAAUCAUUGCCCAAACUAAGACGUGUUACGAUUGCUACAGGCAACCAGUUUUCAAUUUCCCCCGGUGUGCAGAAGGAGCAGAUUAGAGUAAGAACUCUGGUUACUAUGUGUAAGUCAUUGGAAGUUGAAAAUGCAAUUUUCAAAAGACUCUUGAAGAUACGAGUUUUGGUUCUAGCAGAUUCAAUUGUACAAAGUAUUCCAGAUUCUAUUGGAAGUUUGAUCCAUCUAAGAAUGCUUAAUCUUGAUAAGACUGACAUAUCUGAUAUUCCUGAGUCCAUACAUUGCCUUAUUAACCUUCAGAUAUUGAACUUGGAAGGUUGUCAUGCUUUGCAUAAUCUUCCUUUGGCUAUCACUCGAUUAUGCAACCUAAGGCGCCUAGGUCUUAAUGGGACGCCAAUAGAUCAGGUUCCAAAAGGGAUAUCUAAAUUGAAGUUUCUCAAUGAUUUAGAAUGCGCUCCAAUUGGCUGUGACAAUGUUAAUAGUAAUAAGGUGCAAGAUGGAUGGAGCCUAGAGGAGUUGGGUCCGCUUCUGCAGAUGAGGAGGCUUAUUAUGAUAAAAUUGGAGAGAGCAAGUCCUGUUUGCGCAAAUACAUUGCUGGUUGACAAAAAGUAUCUCAAACAUUUAAGAAUGUCAUGCACAGAAGAACGCGGAGAUCAACCAUAUUCUGAAGAGGAUGUUACCAACAUUGAGAAGGUGUUUGAGCAGCUAAUCCCUCCACAAAAUUUGGAAGCAUUGCGUAUUUGGCAUUUUUUCGGUCAAAGGUAUCCCUACUGGCUAGGCACUACUCAUUUGUCCUCACUGAAAUACUUCACCCUCGAAGGUUGCAAGUCCUGUGUGCAUCUUCCACCACUGGGGCAGCUCCCCAACUUAAAAUAUCUCAAAAUAAACCAAGCCUUUGCAGUUACUAAGAUUGGGCCCGAAUUUUUUGGUAAUUCCAGAUCAACUAAGAUCGUAGCUUUCCCCAAGCUUGAGGUGUUGCUAUUCUAUGACAUGCCUAAUUUGGAGGAGUGGACCUUUGUAGUUGAAGAAGAAGAAGCAAUAGCAGCAGGUAAGGAAGGUGAAGAGGAUGGAGCUGCUGCAAAGCAAAAGGGGGAAGCCCCACCUCCAAGGAUGCAGCUGCUGCCACAUUUGGAGAAGCUGGAAAUUAUCUGCUGCCUGAAGCUGAGAGCUCUUCCACGACAGCUUGGACAGGAGGCCACCAGCUUGAAGAAGCUCCAAUUAAGACACGUGAACAGCCUUAAGGUUGUGGAGGAUCUUAUGUUCCUCUCUGAUCUCCUUUUAAUUGCGAAUUGUGAAAGCCUGGAGAGGGUGUCAAAUCUACCGCAAGCAAGAGAGCUGCGUGUGCAGGGCUCUCCAUGCUUGACGUGUAUUGAGAAGUUGGACAACCUGCAGCUGUUGGGUCUGCACGAGAGUAUGCAAGAGGUCUCCUCACUGUGGCUGCCUAGGCUCCAACAGCAGUGCAGGCAAGUUCAUGGUGAAGAUUUCGAUGUAUUUAAUUGGACAUGAGAUGGCAUACAUCUCUCACAACAAUAUGGCUACUAAGAUGCAAGGUGAGGAUAGGCUCAGUAUUUGAAUUUGGUUGCAUUUUACGUCUCCCCCUGCCUUCAGUUUUGUCCCCUGUUCUUCUUUCCCUUUUCCUUUUAUCACAGGUCAUUGACUACCUGUAUUCAUAAUGUUGCAUGAGGGCAGGACAGGCUACACUACGCUUUAUGCAAGGCCGGAUAGUGGAGACGAAUAUAAUGUUCCAUGAUGAGGUCUUGUGGUGGAGGACCUCUCGUUAGUAGAGAAGUUCUUAAUCGGUGGGUGCGAAAGCCUGGAGAUGGUCUUGAAUCUUCCCAAGGUGCGACAGCUGUGGGUAAGUUGCUGUCCAAGUUUAAGGCAUGUGGAGUUGGACAGUUUGGAGCAGCUGUGGCUGGAUAUGGAUGUGCAGGACCUCGCUUCUCAGUGGGUGCCUGGGCUUAAACACCAACGCCAAAAACACCAUGGCGAAUACCUCUCUUCUUUGGCUCAUGGGAAAGCUUGUUUAAUCUUGUUCAAGCUAGUGUUUGGCUAUUCUUGUGUGCAUGUCUGAACAAAAUGUGUGCUACUUACUUGAGUUUCUCGAUUAAUUCAUUCUGUGUGAUGGGUUUGUAUUCCUUGUACUUCGUGAACUUGUAAUGUCAACUUCAUCUGCUGUUAAACUCUGUCAACUUGUAAUGGCUACUUGAGUGUUUGGCUAUCCUUGUGUGCAUGUCUGAAUAAAAUGUGUGCUACUUGAGUGAUGCGUUUGUAUUCCUUGUACUCCGUGAACUUGUAAUGUCAACUUCAUCUGAUGUUGCAUGAUUUCUGUUGCCAACUGAGCACUUGUUUUGUUACCACUGCUAUUACUCGUUCCCCUGCUACUCGUUCUCCUGCUUAGUUCCGUGAUGCAUCUUAUUUCAAACAAUCAAGUCGUCCUGUGAACAGUGAACCAAAAUUGUUUUGCAGUAGAAACAAGAAAUGCGGGUUAGCUCUAAAAAUCAUAUCUUGGCUGGUGCCUAUGCCACUUCUCUGUCGUCAAUUUGUCACAUACUUACAUGUCCUUUCAUUGUGAUGCGAUUACAUUUUUUUUGGGUGCAAUCAAUUUCUUCCGUUCUGUUCUAAAAAAAAUUCUUCUGUUCAUGGGACAAAUUUCCGUACAAAUUCGUGCAGCUAGAGAAGGCACGAGCCGUCAUUAGUCAAUACUUAGGUAGCUGCAGUUCUGAGCAUCUACUGAAAUUCUGUUCUCUUUGCAGCUACUCUGUUUUCUUCGAACCCUGCUUGAUUCAGUACCAACACAAGACAGCUAGCCGGAUCAUGUAGCGUGGUCGCUCUACUACAGAUGAACCUCUGAACAUUAAUUUCCUUUGUUUCUAUGCAUCAUGCAGUUGUUAAAACAAUAAGAAACCAACUAAUUUCAUCAUGUUUAUUCAACAAUAAGAAACCUAUGAACAUUGAUGGACUAGAAUGUUGAACACCAAGUUUGUGAAAAGAGUUAUUCUCAGAACUAGAGUUGGCAUGCAUGAAUCAAGGAAAAGAGCUGCUCCAGAGCUAUCUUGAAGCUUUCUCCUCCAAGUGCAGGGAGUAAUAGAACAGAGCAGAGAACAGCUGCACUGCAAAGGCUCCCUCUGCACUUCCAGGAAGACUGAUUGGACUGAGAAAACAUGUGGUUGGACUUUUGACUGAGGUGAACGAUUGUUGACUAGGAAGGCAUGAGGUUGGACAUCUCAUUCGACCCGCUAAAACAAGAAUUAUUGUUGACUAAGAAAACAUGAGGUUCGACCUCAGAUGGAAUUUGUCGGAUUCAAAGGGCACUACGGGGAACAGGUGCUUUGCCGUGUGCCCAGAAAAACCCUCGGCGGCACUCGGCACAAAAAGUGCCGGCAAAGUGUAUUUGUCGAGUGUUUUAUGUCGAACACUCGGCAAAACUUUAAAAAAACAAAUUCCCACCGCGGCCACCACGCCAGCCACCACUACCACCACGCCGCCACGCCCGCUGCCGCCCGCCACCACGCCUGCUACCGCCUGCCAUGGCCGCCGCCCACCACGCCGCCACAUCGGGCUGGGAGGGGAGGUGCCGCUGCCGGAUCCGGCCGGGAGAGGAGGGGCGUCGGGAGAAGUGGAGGGGUCGGCGGCCGGGGGAAGGAGGGGCGGCCAGGCCGCCACCGGAUCCGGCCAGGAGGGUCCGCGCCGCUGCCAGCGAGAAGGGGAGGGGGCGUCGUUGGGGGAAGAAGGGGCGGCCGGGCCGCCGCCGGAUCCGGUCGGGAGGGGCCGCACCACCGCCGGGGAGAAGGGAAGGGGGCAUCGCCGGGGGAUAGGAGGGGCGGCCGGGCCGCCGCCGGAUCCGGCCGGGAGGACCUGCGCCGCCGCCGGGGAGAAGGGGAUGGGGCGUCGCCAGGGGAAGGAGGAGCGCUGGGGAGAAGGCCGGAGGGGGCGGGGCGCGUGAAUGGGAGCUAAGGGGGCGGGGCGCGUGGGUGAGGCCGGGAGGGGGCGCUGGGUUAAUAAGUGCGGGAUUUUUUUGUUUGCUAAUGUCCUAGAUCUGGACACGGCAAAGGUUUUUUUUCAUUUUUUUUAUUCUCCUUUUCCAGAAAAAAAGUUUUUAUUUUUUUGCCGAGCAUAAAAAAUAAAAGACUCGGUAAACUCCCUUUUUGCCGAGUGUUUUUUUAACACUCGGCAAACCCCCUCUUUGCCGAGUGUUUUUUUCUGCUGAGUGUUUUCAGCGCAGCACUCGACAAAGAAAUUGUUCGCCGAGUGCCUGAGGAAAUACACUUGGCAAAUAUAAAAACACUCGGUAAAUUUUACGUUUUCGGUAGUGGGGCCACUUUCAUAUUUUCUCCAUUCUAAAGGAUUGGAGGCUUUGGUCAGUUUUGUAUUCAUUUCUCUGCAAAAGAAACGUACUUAGAUGCCUCCAAUGGUGUCCAUGCUUAGUUACAAUGACCUAACUGAAUCAAUUGAACGAUAGAUAGAGAAUAAUGUAAUUUUUUUAUCAGCCAGGACAAAAGGAACGACUUCUACUGAACUCACCACAGAACAAAGAGGCCAAGGCCUGGUGGCCUUAUCGUCACGCAUCUCGCUACUAAGUAGUGAUCACACACCAAAUAAAACUGUUGGAGCCUAAAAUUGGCAGCGCCGCCAAUCUGGCCCAAAAGCCGAUCUGGCAAGCGAAACCGGUCCGACCGGUUUGCCUCACCGGUCAGACUGGUCUGCCCUAAUCCGAAAAGAAAUUGAGAGUCCCGGUUGAAUUGGACUUGAAACGGGAUUUCUUGCGGGAAUAGACCUCCCACCCUAUAAAUAUAGAGGGUCCUGGCCGAUUGAGGGCUAACACCCAAUCGACAAACAUAUCUUUUACUUUUUAUCUCCAAACCCUAGCUUUUCCAACCCCUUGCUUCCCUCCUUCGUCUCGACGGCGGUUGAGGAAGCUCUGAGUGGCCUGACCGAUCUCAGAGCAACCCUAAGCGCACCAACUCCGAUGGGGUCCCUCCUGAGGCGGCAAUCUUAGGUUUUGGCCGACGCUCAGUAGCAGACCGGUCUGACGGCCUGCUAGACUAGUCUGAUCGGCCUCGUCCAGCGAGCAUCGACGAGGUGAUCAUUUCACACGCGCGACCUAGCGCAUUCGUGUGUUGACCCGAAAAGGCGUCAACACAUUUUGGCGACUCCGCUAGGGAAGAAGAUCUAGUUUUACAACCGUUCCAGAAACCCUAGCAUAAUGGGAUCUACUACGGACCUUGACAAGGACAACAUCAUCACGACCUCCGUGGAGGAUCUCAGUGAGGAGGAGCAGCGGAACCUUGCGAUGCUCCAAGAAUAUAUUAAGAUGCAAUAUCUCAUGGGCAUCAAGAAGGAUCAUAAGGGCAAGAUGACGAGAACGUAGGACUUUGAGUUGCUCGCGAUCAAGAUGAAGGAUAGAAUGGUCGAGGAAAUACGCAAUGUAAGUAAUCUCCCCUCUGACUAUACCGCCGUUAACGAUGAGCUUUGUAAAAGCCUUGCUGAUCAAAAUAGAAUCACUAAUACGUUAAUGGCUCAAAUAGAUCAACUUGCAGGGAAUAGAUCCGUUCUAGCGACAAAAACGAUUUUCUGCAAGUUGACUCACGUGGGGUCAUGCAAACUAGUUCAUCAGCAAGUAUGGGUGCCAUCCCUGGAUCACGUAUGGCAUGCCGUUGAACUUUUACUCAGGACAAACACCGCCUCGGACCCAGCCGCAACAGCCGAACACAGCUAAACCGGUCAGACCGGUCCAGGCGACCGAUCAAACCGGUCAGGCCUCCCAGGCCAGCCAGCUGGCCGUCAUUCCCGAGAUGCCCGUGCCGAUCGCCGUUGUGCCUAGCUCGGUCACCCCUUGCCGUGUUGGUGAUUAUGGGGUCCACCCAUCCUCGUUUAGCACAAUAGCUUACACGUCGCCUUCAAUUCCCCACAACAUUAUUGCAUCUAGAGGGGUCUCGAAUGACGUGUUUUCUGAUUUACACCGCAUUCAGAACGGCAACCCACUCAAUGUGAGCACUGUGAAUACUUCAGCCCAAGAGCAAUCAGAGAUACCCACCUUGCGCAAGAUUAGAAAAUUCAGGGAGGAGGUACUAGCUUUGAUGCAAAGCAAAUACGGCACAGACACUGGGAGUUUAAAAUUAUAUCAAAAGCCGUAUCAAGCUGAUUUUGACUAUGUUCCCUACCCGGUCAGUUGGCGCAUACCCAAUUUUGUUAAAUUCAGUAGCGAGGAUAACUGAACUACUUGGGAGCAUAUUAGUCAGUAUCUGGCUCAAUUAGGCGAAGCGGGUUACUAUAAUGCUUUACGUGUGCAUUUAUUUUCUUUAUCAUUAACUGGAAUUGCUUUCGCUUGGUACUCUUCUUUAGCUCCUGGCUCUAUUGAUUCGUCGGAACAAUUAGAGCAAAAAUUUCAUGAUCACUUUUACACCGGGAACUUUCAAUUGAAGUUGACAGACUUAACAUCGGUUAGGCAAGGUAAAGAAGAAUCUAUCUUUGAUUACGUAAGAUGAUUCAAGGAAACAAAAAACCGUUGUUUUAAUUUGUCGCUUACCGAUAGUGAUUUGGCCGACCUCGCGCUUAAGGGUUACCGAUAGUGAUAGAUCCUUCAUUAGAGAUUGGCUAGAAGGCUUUGAGAUUCACACUAUUGCGCAAGUGUUAAUGAAAGCUUCAACAAUGGAGCUUAGAAUUGCUAAAGAAAAGGAUAACUUCAAGUCACGUCGAUCUAAUAUGCACACCAUAGAGUAUGAUUCCGAUAGUUCGAACGACGAUGACAAUGAAGUUUACAUUACCAAAUUUGUUUGGACUUCUAAGGCUAAGUCUUACUCUUGUGCAUCACUUAAGCUGGCUCAAAAGAGUCGGUAGGAGGUAAAGUUUACUUUUGAUGUUUCUAAGUGUGAUCGCAUUUUUGAUGAAUUACUUAAGCUUGGACACUUGAAAAUAACUCAUACCAUGCCUCCACUUGAAGAACUGAAAAAGAAAGCAUAAUGUAAGUUUCAUAACAGUUUUUCUCAUGCUACUAAUGACUGCAAUGUGUUUCGUUGAUAGGUUCAAUCGGCUAUAAAUGAAGGCCGGUUGACUUUCCAUGAGAUGCAAGUGGACAAGACGUCAUUUCCUGUCAACAUGAUGGAUAUUCAGCAACCUAAGGUACUGGUUCGGCUGUACCAAGCCGAAGCAACUAAGGAGAAAAAUGUGGUAAUCGGGGAAGAAAAGCCCGAUUUAAGAGGCAAGGAGUUGAUAAGAGAAGUGGUGUAUGAGAAGACUCCUGAUGGCAGGGAGUCAUUCAAAAUUACUGUGAAAGCCUCUAGACACGGGGGGCAAACCUCGCACUCAGGACCUGGUCAGAAGCCGAUCGAGCCAGUCGGUCAGGCUGGACCAGUGAGACCGGUUCAGGACACCGGUCAGACUGAUCUGACACAGAACCAUCCUCAAAUGCUGAAACCCAAGUGUCCGGAGAUCGGGACCUAGAAGCUCAACUUGGCAAAGGAUCAGGGGAGCAGCCCCAGGGGAAAAAUCACAUUUGAUAUGCUUCUGUGCAAGUAUACCAAGGAAAAGGCCAUUCCGAGCAAUCGGCCGGUAAAGAAGAGAAUGAGGUCACCCGCUCACCAAGAAAGGCAAGGCUCACUGCCGAGAGCAGUUGUUAGAUAGAGGGGUGAUCAGGUAAAACAAAGGAGGCAUCCCUCCACAUCUUGGGCUCCUCAAGUGCCAAAUCCUUCGUGCCCAAUGUCGGAUGAUAAUGGGGUGAUGUGGGUGCCGUAUCAGUCUGUGCAAUAGCCACCUUUCCAUCCUGGAUGGGGAAACUCUAGAAAGUCAGCUUUAGAUAGAAUCUCGCACCCUGUGCACGGCCGGUGGGCUCCUCACCUAUCUGGCUAGGGUCAGCAGACCCGACUGGUCAGACCGGUCUGUCAAGGCACCACGCGUCUCUUCCCCUAGGAAAGUUUAUUGUCCCAAGAAAAGGGAAGGGGAAGUUCAGAAGGUAGAAGCAGACCCAAAGAAAGACAGAGAAGAAGCUGUCACACAGAUUGGGUCUAUGAAGGUUCCCAUUGAAGCUAAUACGGAAAGGCCGAUUGAUAUAAGCAAUCCGGUCUCAGCUCCUGUUCAGAAAAUAUCCACUGCCAAUGAUCAUGAAGCUAGCAACAGUGGAUCGAAUCCUAAAUACUUUUUACCUUAGUGGUGUCCUCCCGGGUUGACUCGCACGCAAAGGAGGAAGUUGCAGAGGCUCAGGUUGCAGGAGAAGAGGGAACAGGAGCUGGAGGAACAGAGGGAUGAGGCAUUCAACAGGUACAGACCCAUGGCACCUCAGAAGAAGGAGUGGAGAACAAAGGAUGAUGCCCAGGCUACACCGGUCAGACCAGUUGAGGAACCGGUCAGACCGGUCAGAGCGUCUGAGCCAGCUCCUGAACCGAUCAGACUGGUCUAGGAACCGGUCAGAUCGGUCCAUCAAAAACAUCACCCGUUUCUGCUCUUUCUGAUUCUAUGGUUGACGACAACGAGUUGGCAUCAGUCCAUGAGGCAGAGGAUGAUGAACAACUUGUUGAUUACAGUUCUUCUCCUGAGAGGAUGACGCUGGACAUAAAUGUGGUGGAUAUGUCAAUGGACGGGUAUGUGCUCUCAGAGGAGGAUAUGGCUCACCUAGACUUUGGGCCUAAGGAAGUGGUGUUCCAGAAGCCUAAGGACGCUGAGAACCAUCUAAAGGUGUUGUAUAUGUGAGGUCCAAUCAAUGGAAAGCCAAUUUCUCAGAUGUUGGUUGAUGGAGGGGCAAUUGAGACUUGAUGCCCUACUCUUUGUUCAAGAAAUUGGGAGGUUCAAAUGAGGAGCUAAUCAAGACCAACAUGACUAUCAACAGUGUGGGAGGAGGCAAGCCUAUGGGAGAGAAAGGCGUUGUCUCUAUGGAGCUCACCGUUGGGAGCAAGACGUUGGCUACUGCUUUCUUCAUCGUCGAAACCCAAGGUAACUUCAGUUUAAUCUUGGGUCGUGAUUGGAUACAUGCAAAUCAAUGCGUUCCUUCUACUUUACAUCAAUGCUUGAUUCAGUGGAUUGGUGAUGAAGUAGAGGUAGUUCAUGGUGAUACAUUGGCUUGUAUUGCUAUAGCCGAUAGUUUUACCGUAAGUACUCAUGAUAAUGUUAGGUGUUUGUCUGGCAUAGAUCUUUCUGAUUGUGAAUACAUUAGUUGCACAAAAGAUGGCUUUGUCGCUGCUGUAUUAAAGCCAAUUGAUGAUCGGCUAGCUUAUCGCAUUUGAUAUGACAGAUGUAAAUUUAGAAUGGUUGCAGCAGAGGCUAGAACACUAUCAAGCGCAGAAGAAUGAUAUGUGUGAGGCCAUUGAGGACCUUGAUGACAUGAGUAAAUUAGGACAAGGAUUCACAUCAGCCGAUCCUUUAGAGGAGGUGGAUAUUGGUGAUGGUAUUGUACUAAGGCCGACGUUUGUAAACAAAAAUCUUGAGCCUGCUCUUAAGGCCGAUUUAAUAAAAUUCUUAAAAGAGUAUGUCGACUGUUUUGCAUGGAAUUACACUGAAAUGCCCGGUUUAAGCCAUGAGCUAGUUGAGCAUCGGCUGCCUAUCAAGACUGGUUUUAGGCUACAUAAACAAUCUGCUAGGCGUUUUAAUCUUGUUAUUUAUGACCGAGUAAAAGAAGAAAUUAAUCGGUUGCUCAAUGCUAAGUUUAUUAGGCCUUGUCGAUAUGCUGAUUGGGUUUCUAAUAUUGUACCUGUUGAGAAGAAAGGUAUAGGCAAGCUCUGUGUAUGCAUUAAUUUAGAGAUCUUAAUAGAGCUUCGCUUAAAUAUGAAUAUCCUAUGCCUAUAGCCGAUGUACUUAUUAAUGUUGCAUCUAGUCACAAAAUGAUUAGCUUCCUUGAUGGCAAUGUUGGGUACAAUCAAAUCUUUAUGGCCGAAGAGGAUAUAUCCAAAAUGGCCUUUGUGUGUCCAGGCUUUGUCGGUUUGUUUGAGUGGAUUGUUAUGACAUUCGGGUUGAAAAAUGCUAGUGCUACUUAUCAAGGGCUAUGAAUUUAAUUUUUCAUGAUUUGCUUAGAGUAGUGCUGGAAGUAUAUAUCGAUGACAUUGUUGUAAAAUCGGCUGGGCCUGAAUCCCAUUUGGCUGAUUUGAGACUAGCAUUGGAAAUAAUGCAUCGGUAUGGUUUAAAGAUGAAUCCACUCAAAUGCGCUUUUGGUGUAUCGGCUGGGAAAUUCUUGGGGUUUGUAGUGCAUGAGAAAGGAGUUUAGAUUGAUCCUAAGAAGAUUGAAUUUAUCAAGAAACUACAAGCUCCAACCUGCAAAAAAGAGUUGCAAAAGUUCUUGGACAAGGUGAAUUACUUGAAGAGAUUUAUUUGUAACUUGUCCGGAAAGGUGAAUGCAUUUACUCCUUUACUUCGGUUAAAAGACGAAGUUGAUUUUACAUGGUACUCCUUUCAAACUUUAUAUAGCUACCGAAGCGGGUGUUAUUGGGGCUGUCUUAACUGAAGAAACUGAAGGAAAGGAGCACGUUGUUACUUAUGUAAGUAAGAGACUAUUGGAUGCCGAGACCAGGUAUACUUUUAUUGAAAAAUUGUGCUUAUCAUUAUAUCACGCUUGUACCAAGUUGAGGCAUUAUUUAUUAUCAAAUACUUGCAUAGUAGCUUGUCAAACCGACAUAAUUAAAUACAUGUUGCAAGAACCUAUUUUGAGUGGUAGAAUUAGCAAAUGGGCUUAUGCUCUCAUUGAAUAUGAUCUGGUUUGCGAACCAUUGAAAUCAAUGAAGGGUCAGGUUGUGGCCGAUUUUAUUGUUGAACAUAGAAUUAAUAAGCAACUUGAUUUGGAUGUCGGUUAUGUUACUUUUACCCCUUGGAAGUUGCACUUUGAUGGAUCGGUACGUAAAAGUGGUUGCGGUAUUGGUAUGGUGCUUAUUUCACCCAACGGGGCUGUUUUUGAGUUACUUAGCCGAUUGGAUCACAAGUGUACCAAUAAUCAAACUGAAUGUGAAGCAUUGUUAUUUGGUUUGGAAAUUUUGCAAGAGAUGGGGGUAAAUCAUGUUGAGGCUUAUGGUGAUUCUUUACUGGUGGUACAGCAAGUAUCCAAGGUAUGCCAAUGUUUAGACGGUUUUCUAAUGCUUAUCUUGAUAAAUGUCUAGGCAUCAUAUCUUGUAUGGACGAAUUUGUUAUUUAUCAUGUAGCAAGGGAAGAGAAUCCGAGGGCUAAUGCUCUGGCACAACAAGGGUCAGGUUACAACGUUCAUAAAAGAAAUUUUUAUGAAAGAAAAACGACGCUUUACGAAGCCGAGUGUUGCAGCCUGGAAGAACCGGUCCGACCGGCCUCCAAAACCGGUCUGACCGGUCUGUUUGGAGAAAACUCCGCUUCGGCCAUAAACCGUCCCGAAUUUGCUAAGGACAAAGUGGAUGAUUGGAGAACACCUCUGCUUAAUUAUUUGCGGGAUCCUAAGUGCUUGGUCGAUAGAAAAGUCUGACGGUGGGAGCUUAAGUUCACUUUGAUAGAGGGUGAGUUGUAUCGUCGAAUGGUCGAUGGGUUGUUGUUGAAAUGCUUAGAUUCCGAUCAAGCAAGGCUAGCUAUGGCAGAGGUGCAUGAAGGAGUUUGUGGUACGCAUCAAUUGGCUCGUAUGAUGAAAUGGCUCCUGAAGCGAGCUUGUUUCUAUUGGCCUAAUAUGAUAGCCGAUUGUUUUCGCUACUACAAAGGCUGUGAAGAGUGUCAAAGGUUCGGAGAUGUUCAGUUGGUGCCUGCUUCAUUAAUGCAUUCAAUUAUAAAGCUAUGGCCAUUUAGAGGAUGGGGAAUGGAUUUCGUCGGCAAGAUUCAUCCGUCUUCAUCAAAUGGACAUUGUUUUGUAAUUGUGGCCACUGAUUAUUUCACCAAGUGGACUGAAGCAAUUCCCCUUAAGAACAUGACACAUCGAGAGGUGAUUGAGUUUAUUAGUGAGCAUAUUACACACAGGUUACAGACAAGGGGACUUCAUUUAUAUCUAAAGAGAUGCGUGAGUUUGUGAAUCCUAUGAUAUUAAAUUGCUCAAUUCAUCUCCUUAUUAUGCUCAAGCCAAUGGUCAAGCCGAGUCUAGCAAUAAGAUAUUGAUCAAGCUCAUCAAGAAGAAGAUAGAGGAUAAUCCCAAGAGAUGGCUCGAGGUAUUAUCUGAAGCUUUAUGAACUCAUCGUAUUUCUAGACAUGGUGCGACUAAAGUUACUCCUUUCGAGCUUGUCUAUGGUCAAGAGGCCGUUUUGCCUGUUGAGGUGAAUCUGGUUGCAUAUAGGGUAGCUAACCAAAAUGAUCUCGAUUUUGACACCUAUUAUGCUUUGAUGAUGGAUAAUAUUGACGAGGUGACCGACAAGCGGAUGGAGGCCUUGGUAGAAAUAGAAAAGGACAAAAUUCAGGUGGCAAGGGCAUACAACAAGAAAGUUAAGGCCAAAACAUUUUAGGUAGGAGAUCUGAUUUGGAAGACAAUUCUACCUAUAGGAACCAAGAGCAAUAAAUUUGGAAAGUGGUCUCCAAGUUGGGAGGGCCCUUACAAGGUUACGACAGUGCUCCGAGGGAAUUCUUAUAUGGUGGAGACUCUGAAUGGAUUUCAACUACCAAGAGCUCUGAAUGGGAGGUACUUGAAGAAGUAUCAUUCGAGUCUUUGGCAAGAUGCUUAAAGGAAAUGGCCAGUAUUUUGACAUAUCGCCCUUAGGAGAAAAUGGCCAGUGGGAUUCAUCGGCCUCAGUUUAUUUCUUGGUACGCAAGCUUUACAAAGAAACAGGGGGCAUGUGUUGGAGCCCAAAAUUGGCAGUGCCGCCGAUCUGGCCCAAAAGGCGAUUUGGCAGGUGAAACUGGUUUGACCGGUUUGCUUGACCGGUCUGCCCUAAUCCGGAAGGAAAUUGAGAGUCCCGAUUGAAUUGGAGUUGAAAUGGGAUUUCUUGCGGGAAAAGACCUCCCAUCCUAUAAAUAUAGAGGGUCCUGGCCAAUUGAGGGCUAACACCCAAUCGACAAACAUAUCUUUUACUUUUUAUCUCUAAACCCUAGCUUUUCCAACCCUUUGCUUUCCUCCUCGUCUCGACGGUGGUUGAGGAAGCUCUGAGUGGCCUGAUCGAUCUCAGAGCAACUCUAGGCGCGCUACCUCCAACGGGGUCCCUCCUGAGGUGGCGAUCUUAGGUUUUCGUCGAUGCUCAGCAGCAGACCGGUUUGACCGGCCUCGUCUAGUGAGCAUCGACGAGGUGAUCGUUUCACACACGCGACCUAGCGCAUUGGUGUGUUGACCCAAAAAGGUGUCAACAAAAACCAAACACCCACGAAGGCAAGAGAUGUCAACAAAGAUGGCAUGCAUAUUUCCUUGAAUAUAUAUGACAUGGGACAAUUAAUUUACAUUUAUACUGCUAUGAGUUUUACUAAAAAACUGUUUGGAUCCAGAGCUAAACUUUAGUCGAUCAAGUAAACUUUAGUUCAUUAGCCCUCCAAACCUAACUAGCUAGUGGAGGCUAAUUUUAGACAUGAACGGCAAACGAAAGAAAAUACCCACCACUAAAAUCUUAACAUUUUGUCUCCUACAACCCCUAUGGAUAGAAUGGACAUUUCCUAAUAAAUGGGCUAAAAAUUAGCUCUACCUCCAAACAAGAUAGGGUUAUAUUUGCCAACUAAAGUUUGAUGUCUAAACUUUAGUUUUAGUCCAUCCAGACAGGCUGAUACCACCACCUUGAUUUGGGUUCCGAAGUAUAAUCUAGACAAAAUAAAAAUUUUAGCACCGGUCUUAUGUGUGUUUAUGAGGGGAAAAAAACAAAAGUUAUGUUUUUGAUACAAUGGUUUCAGAUCUCCAGGUUGAAGAUGAACUUAACUAGGCAAUAAUUUAGGGUGGCAAGUGAACUUGUGUAACUACCUUAAUAUAUGGUGCUUUUUUUAGGGGAAAAUAUGAAAGCCAAGGUAGUUGAUGUAUAGUGGAUAGAAUUAUUCUAGGUUGAAAAUGGGCAUCCUGUUUGGUUGAAAGGAAAAGCUAUUGAUAUAGUUGUUUCAAAAUUCUAGGUUCAUGAAUGGAUUAGUACAGAUUUUACAAUAUUUAUAAACAGGAUCCAGUUGGUGUGGCUAUGACUUACAUUUUGAAAUGAAGGGAGUAGAAUGCAAGAAGCAUAUGUACAAUCUAGAAGAGAAUUGGGUCUCUUUGGUACGGAACUAUGAUACAAGUAGCAAGAGACGUCCCGUAUGUGAUUUUGUUGUUGCACGAUUCAUGAAUGCAUGAUAGAAGUAGCAAGAGACGAUUCGUGAAGAUGCAUGGACCAGCAUCAUGAAACUGAGAACAUGAUGGAUCGAGGCGGCGGCGCGCGUGUUGAAUGUGUUCCGCCUGCAGGCCGCGACGAUGUGCUUGAGAACAGCACGCGUCACGUACAUACGCGUGGCAGUAGCUCGAUCAGCUCUGUCCCUGUUACGGCCGGGAAACUGGAAUUCCAUCUUAUAGAUUCGUCAAGGUCAUCGUGGCGUUUCUAGAUUCGUCAAGGUGGCGUUUCUAGAUUCGUUUCAUCUUUCACCAUGCAAUAGCACGCCCAGAGAGUGAAGAAUCAAAGCAUGUGGGACGACCCAUUCACAGUAGUAGUCAACGUGGAAUGAAUUAAUAACCGGCUGUGUUAUGGUGUGCACGAGUGGAAGAAAUUAGAAAGUCCGAUUGCAACGUUACUGCGUUACUUUUGUUACCUUUAAUGGACCUCAAAUCUGCAGCUUGAAGAACAGGGAAGGUCCGUGAAUGCAUCAAUGCAUGCGCCGGAGGAUAUCGGGAACAAGAUAUGCAUAUACGGGAGUUCUGGGAAAAUAAUAAUUACAUAAAAAUUACAAAAUUAUCCCUAGGGUCUGUUUGUUUGGGCUUUCCAGCAGCUUUCCACCCUAAGAAGUCGAAAGCUCGAACAAACGAUCAGCUUCUGGGCUGAGCUUUCCGAAAUCCAAAAUCUCACAGAAGCUAUGAUUCAUGGAAAACCCAGAAGCAGUGAAAUGUGAGCUUUCCGUAGCUUUUUACGUCAAGGUCGCGAAAAUUACCUACCCGCCAUCGUUUAUGUUGUGAACCGGUCAUUUUUCUUUCCUCAACUUUAUCUCCAUCUAUGUUGUCUCCCUCUCCUCCAGUGCACCGAGCCAUGACUGGUGCGCGCCCCUCUUCCUACUGGAGCAAACGGCCAUCACCACGACGAUCUCCGCGCCAAGCUGAAGCCCCACUCUUGCUCCUUGACGUCUCUCUAUCGUCGAAGCGCAGCCACCCAUAAAGGACCACUAGUAGAAAACUCGGCAUUAGUCCUAGUUGGUACGUCUCAAAUCUCUCUAAAAUUCAUCCGGAAUAAAAUUUUCGAGACAAAAGGAGGUCUUAAGUCCCAGAUCGUUCAACUGGGACUAAAGACCCCCUUUAGUCCCGGUUGGUGUUACCAACUGGGACUAAAAAGUUUUGGAAAAAAAACCAUGCCCGGCUGCCGGUGGCGUGCGCCGCUCGACCGCCGCCGACCCGGCCUCCGCCCGCGCCGAUCCCCCGCUCCGCCUCCGGCACCCCCGUGUCCGACCUCCGACUCCGCCUCCCCCACGUGCCGCAUCUGCACCCUGCCUCCCCGCGCCCGGCCUCCACCUCCGCCGCUCGUUGCUGCCCGCCCUCACCUUGCUGUCGCUCCUCACUGCCAGUGGGGAGCAAGCAGACGGGGAAGGGGAGGGGUAGCAAGAGGAGGGGGCGGCCACCCGUUCCGGAGGGAGAGGAGGAGGUGGAAGGAGAGGAGGAGGACGAGGAAGAAUAAAGGGAGAGGAGUAGAAGAAAUACUUGUGUGCUAGGAGAAGAUAAGGAGCUGUGCUGUUGGAGACCUAUGAGGAUAAUUAAUGUGGAGAGGGGGGGCGUGGGGAAGGAUGUUUUGUCACUGUUGGAGCCAUCAACCGGUACAAAAGACUCUCUUUUGUCCCAAUUGAUAAUUCCAACUGGGAAUAAAUCUUUUAUCCCGGUUGGAAUUACCAACCGAGACAAGGGGGGCGCGCCAGAUCUUUACAACCGAAACUAAAGCCCCUCCCGUCGAUGUCCUUUCGGUGCCUCAUUUUUUACCAGGGACUAAAGCCACUUUAGUCAUGGUCCAAAUAUUAAUCGAGACAAAAGAGGUGGAUAGAAGGUAAGUUCUUUACUAGUGGACCGCUCCAGACCAGAGCCAAGUGUCGCCGGAGCUCGCCUGGCUGAUUCACCAUGACCGUCGCCUGUCCGAGCCAGAAGAAGGCGUUGCAAGCUUCUUGAAGCCGAGCUGCACCUGCUCCGCUAGUUGAUGCCAUCGAUUCCCCCCUGGAGGAGCCCCGCCGCAUGAAGUUUGAGUCAGCCGCGGUCUUCACCGCCCGCCACCAAUUCCAGCCAUCUCUGUGAGCCUCCCACCUCGAUGAGCACUUCCACAAGAUCCCCUGUUACUCCUCUCCCCGAUGCGCCACCCAUCGGAACCGUAGGCCCCCUAAUCGCGCCCAGCCUGAUCGCCAUGGCCAUUAGAAGUCCCCAAGCUUUUUGCGAUUAUGUCCCUUGGUGAUCCUGUAAUAUUUAGAAACACUCCACCAUUUCAAAAGCUAGGCUGUCAAAUGGUGUUAGCUUUCCAAAAGUCAGCUUUCAGAAAGCCACCCUUCCAAGAAGCAAAAGCCAAAAGUCAGCUCUCUGGAAAGCUUGGAAAGCUAAAGCUCAAACAAACAGGGCCAAAUGGAUGGUCGUUAGAUCCGUAAAAGACUUGUUGAAUAAUUAUUGGGCUUACCUACGUGAUUAUAGUGCAGAAACCAACCUAGCAGGAAUGGAGUCAACAAUGACGUGUCCUGUGCAACACUGACGUGGCCAGGAAGACGCGGUCCAGUUGACGCAGCCAAGAUGGACCGUUACACGUUGAUCCAUUGUUAGCUAGCCCACUCACUUCACUAGCAGCAACCUCUAUAAAAGGAGAUCAAUACCGGAAUAGAGCAAUCUGCACAAGACCACAAGUAGUUAACUAAGCAUUGCAGCCAGUUAUUAGCAACUAGUGACUACUGAACAUCCAGCGUGUAGGAUGGCUGCAAGCAAGGCUAUUGUUGCUAACAAGGAGACCUGCGGCGCCUUUAAUUUGAACCUUGUUUAUGGGGCGACUUCUUUGUGAAUUGCACUCCUACCUCAUCACAGGCAUGAAUUUAUGAUUUUAUUGUAGUUGACAGCAUGUUAUAAUAUUUAGCUCUUUAGUUAUAUUGUAUUGUAUAACAAGCAGGGGUCGGAGGAGUGGAUGAGAGAGAGGAAGGAGCAACUCAAAGGGGAAGUGUGCCGAAAGUUUUAGGCUGGAAAAGCCAUGAACGUGGCCGACACGGUGAGGUUGGUGGACACGCUCGAACGCCUUGGUAUAGAUAACCCUUUCGUCAAGGAGGUUGAGAAGGCAAUAGACCGUGUCCAUGAUGAGGAGCUGGACUUUGGCAGCUCCAAUGACUUGCAUGUUGUUGCCCUCCGGUUUCGUCUUCAUAGGCAACAUGGCUUUUGGGUAUCUGCAGGUAAUAGAAAUCAGAAGCUAACAAAAGCUGAUCAGUUAUACUCGAUCAUUAUUCUUUCACAUGUUUCUCUGUUUUUCUCUUUUUUCUUGUUGCCACCUAUAACCUAUAUACGUUGAAAACUGUUUAUCAUACAAUUUUUUGUUAAGAUUUAAUUUGUGUAUAUACAUAUGUGCAUGCAGAUGUAUUCGACAAAUUUAGAGAUGACGACACCGGUAGUUUCAACAUAAAUCUAAGCAAUGACCUGAGGGGCCUACUUAGCUUGUACAAUGCUGCUCACAUGGCGGUACCUGGUGAGACGAUCUUAGAUGAUGCUAUCGUCUUCACUAGGCGCCAUCUUGAGGCUGCAAAAGGCAAGCUUACAUCUCCUAUAAAGGAACAAGUUUCCCAUGCCCUUGACAUUCCGCUCCCUCGUUUUAUGCGGCAACUAGAGACCAUGCAUUAUAUUACUGAGUAUGAGAAAGAAGAGCCACACGACAUCAUGAUGCUCGAGCUCGCAAAGAUUAACCUCAACCUUCUUAGGAGUGUCCACCUCAAGGAGCUUAAGGACCUCUCACUGUAAGUUGAUAUGUAUAUUAAUUAGUUCUUUCACCCUAUUUGUUCAUUGUUCAUUGUCCUCACUAACAAGGUGGGUCAACUAAUUCCAUGUGAAGAUGGUGGAGGGAUCUCUAUGACAGUGUGAAGCUAACCUACUGUCGGGACCGCAUCGUGGAGUCUUACUUCUACAGCUUUGGAGUGUUCCAUGGGGAGGAAAUCUCUGCUGCGCGGAUCAUACUUACCAAGGUGUUUGGGUUGUUGGUCCUGAUUGAUGACACAUUUGAUGUGCGCGCCACCUUUGAGGAGUCCCAAAUGUUAGAUGAUGCCUUACAAAGGUAGGAUAAUACCUCUAUUAUAUGCUUUUUGUAAAUGAACAAUCAAGUUUUAUCGUAUAGCUCACUUACAAAAAAAAUAACAAGGGACUCAAUAGCUGGAAUGUUGACUUGCGUAUGAAAAGAAUCUAAAAUCAUCAUUGUGAUUAUAUAUGUUAACGUUGUUUGCUGGUCGAAAUAAAGCAGUCAAACUAAUUAUUGUAUUUAUUUGUCAUAAUAAUAUGUAGAUGGGAUGAGAGCAUGGUUUCUCUUCUACCAGAGUACCUACGCAUGUUCUACAUCAAAACAUUGAGUAACUUCAAUGAAAUUGAGGAUACUUUGGAACCAUACGAGAAGUACCGCAUGGCUUAUGUCAAAAAAGAGGUACCUUGUUAUCUUAUAGUCAAAUAGUCAACUAACAGCUAUGAAACUUCUAUAGAAACAUAACAAACAUAAACUGUGGUUUAGGUCUCCUCUCAAUUUUAUUAAUCCCAACUUAUCUGGGUAAAAUGUUUUUUAUUGUGCAGUACCCGUUGCAAUCAAAAAAUUCCAUCCAACAGGCUAAAUGGUUCAAUGAAAACUGCACGCCCAGCUUCAAAGAGCAUCUAGACGUUUCACUUAUGGCGACGGGUUUGCCGUUGUUGUUCUUCACAGCUCUGAUGAGUGCAGGCCAAGUGAUAAACAAUGAGGCAUUCGAGUGGGCACUUGACAUGCCUGACAUGUUUUGUGCCAAUAUAGAAGUGGGUCGCUUCCUCAAUGACAUUGGUUCUUACAAGGCACUAUAUCGAGUUCAAAUAAUUGAUAGUCUAUCUAUUUUUAAAUAUUUGACGCCAUUACCUUUUCAUUCUUUUGACUAUUCAUCUUUUGUAUAAACAUAAACAUAUGAUGCACGAUUAAAUUAAAGCACUUUUGAUGAGAGGUCUAGUGUUGCUUAAUUAUUUCGCUUUACUUAAUGAAUUAAUUCGAUAACCAUUAUUGGUCAAAGUUUGAGAAAAAGUCACCUUAGAAUGUAUUUGGGUCAUGGAGGUAUCUAUAAGACCAUUGUUGUUAUUUUUAUUGAUAACAAAUAAUUAGAAAAACAAUGGACAGACAUGCAGUACAUUCCAAACCACUUUGACAUCACAAACAGCAAAAAAAUCUACUACUUGCUUGUAUUGCAUUGGAAAAAUAUGACAUCAUAAAGAGUACUAAUUAAAGGAUUUACUACCGGGUGGAGGCUUUACCCGGUACUAGAGGGUCACCUCUAAGUACCGGUUGGAGCCACCAACCGGUACUAGAGGACCUUUGCGGAAUCCCAAACUUGAAUCCGGUACUAAUGUCCCUCUAGUACCGAGUUCAAAUGGGACCGGUACUAAUGAUAGGGACGGGAGGUCAUAUUUCUAGUAGUGCCAGAUGGAUCUCUAUGUUACUACAUAUGCACACACCUAACAUCACAAAUACACGUAUCUUUGCGCGCAGCAAGGGAAGUGCGAGAAGGAUGUGGCCAGCACUGUGGAGUGCUACAUGAGGGAAUACGGCACGACUGGGGAAGAGGCGGUGGCAGCGAUCGCCGGGAUGGUGGAACAUGCAUGGAGGAGGAUAAACAAAGCUUGCAUGGAGGUGAAACCUGCAGUAGAGCCGGUAGUGCAAUGUUUGCUGAACACGACGAGGGUGCUAGAGGCCUACUACCUUCAUGGCAGGGACGGCCUCACCUACGGCCGUGACCUCAAGGAGCUGAUCACCUUCCUCUUCCUCAAGGACGUCAUGUCUAAAUUUGUUAUUUGCAUCUGUAGAACAUAUACUGUACUGCAUAUAUAUGCUUGUGUCGAGAAAAAAUAAGAAAACAAAUAAUAAACCAUUUUAAGGGUAAGUAAUUUAUUUUCUCUUAUUUAUAUUUUAUUUAUUUUAUUUUCGACACAUACUACUCCGUUCAAAAGACAAAUAUUAACCAAAAGAUUUAUGAUAACAAAAAAAAGAUAGCGAGUCUAUGAGAUGUCAUACUAGGGAUGCCGUAGCAUCUAUGAAAUGCACUACCCUAAAAUACCCUAAUAAAGAGAUUAUAUAAAAUAUACUUAAUUUAAACUAAAAAUAGGAUUAGAGCAUGAAAAAAAUAUUUGAGCUCAACUAGAGUAUUAUAAGAUCAAUUUAUAGCAUCGUGGUAAGGCCGGCCAAAUGAUUUCUCAAGGACAUGCCUACUGGUCAGAUCAAGAUGCUACAAAAGGACAUGAACAAUAGAAUGGAUAUGUAAGCAAAGCUCGCAAUGAUAAAUGAGGAACAAGGAUAAUCUGCAAAACAAGCUGGAGCAGGUGCACGCCAUAGAGAGGAACCAUAACAAUAAGGCAAGAAUAAUGACACGCUGAAGCCUAAGGCGAGGCGGAUAUUGGGGUACACCCAAACAAUAGGAAGAACGUUACAACAAGCGAGGAUAACGAUCGUUUCGGACAAAUGUUGCAGUAGCUAUCCUAUCAGUGAUUAAUGCCCUCCUGGGGGGGACGGUUCACCUCCCUUUAUAGGGCCAUAAAGUUACAUUUUCGUAUUCCCAUUAUACCCAUACUCAACCACUACAUCCUAAGAAUAUUCCGUACAGUACAGUAACUUGAUUCCUAUUCAAGAUGUCGCUUUCUCGGUAAAAUUACAUAUCCAACCUCUUACAAGAUUCUUAUUUCGGAGUCGUCCUGCUGUAAAGUGGUUCCCGGGCCGUCUUAAUUACCCUCUUCCUCAUUCAUAAGCUUCGUCGAGAUCGAUCGAGCUUCCGUAGACUUCCCGCCUUCUUUGGUCGAAGUCAGCUAACUUCGGCUUCUGGCCACAGAAUCUUCCCGAAGUCAAACCGCUGAGAGCUCCGUGGGGGGUUUAACUUCGCGAGUCCUUGCCUGCAAAACAACAGAGUGGACACCUUCAUGAUAGUUGACUUCAGUUAUAUACUAGCUUCGUAAAGGGGGAAGGUGAUGAGGUUAGGGUUGAUUAGGAGAGAGGGUCCCCGCCAGCGCCGUUCAGGGUGUGUUGUGGGGCAGUCCCCAACAGUAGCCCCUUCGUGGGCGAGGUCCGAGGCGCCAUCGACCGAUCCCAUGAAAAGUCCAAAAACGCCCUCAAAACGUCACCCUGAAGGGCGGCGCGGGCCAAGGCGUUUUACCGUUAUGUGAGGGUAGCAAGGUCAUUUCUUAUGUGGCGGUUAAUGGUUUGAGGCGGUUUUUACCAUGCCUAUAAAAGGUUUGCCGGGAGGGGCGGGCCAUAUUUUACGCUGUCGCUUUUGAGCUGCAUUUUUUGGCACCUUUUGCCUUCGCCGCGCAGCUUCGUUGUGCUUUAUUGGCUUCGUUUUCUUGGUGGGGUGUUGACUUCGUUUUCGUGGUAGUUAGCACCAGGCAGAGUUGCAGGCAAUGUCUUCGGAGGAGUUGGCCCUUCAGGUUGCCCCUGGUGGUGGAGGUAGCCAUGCUUCGCAGUCGGUGUCUGCGAGCAGUGGGGAAUCUGAGGGGAAGAGGUCAAAGAAGCGAAUCUAUACGAAGGAUGGUUUGGUUUCUGCUGAAGAGGGAUCUUCGGGGAGCAGUUUGCCUGAUUGGUCAUCUGAUGGGGGUGAAGGUGAAGGUGAAAUAGGCCAAGCCUCGAACGGUACAGGGGAAACCGAGGUUCAUGCUGUAUCCUCGGACGAGGAAGAAGGUAAGGGUGCCGACGAGGUUGAGGGGGAGGAGGAGGAUGCUGAGGUUGAGGUGAGGCCGGGGAAGGUUCCGUGCGUUCCUACUCUUUAUUUUGGGCGCUCCCAGGUGACUUCGCAAGACAUUACACUUUUUGAGGAGAGUAACUUUUUCCCUAAGGGGAUAGGGAGAUCCCCUGGGAACGAGGCAGUUCCGACACCUGAGGUCGGCGAAGCUGUUGUUUUUAUAGAUCUGUUUACUGUGGGGCUUCGGUUUCCCUGCAAUAGGCAGCUGCCGGUUAUAUUGGACCGCUAUCGCGUUAGGCUGCACCAGCUGACCCCCAAUGCCAUCGUGAACUUGUCUAAGUUCUAUUGGGUGCAACGCACGUUUGGUGGGAGCGUUGAUGUGGAGGGUUUCGCGAGGUUACAUGAGCUUCACAUUCAGAAGAAAAGGACUUAUUCUGAUGAUUUCAAGGGUGUUUGUGAAAAUCAUUUUGGAUGCUGUACCUUCAUGCCGCGUCGGAAGAACGAUAAGAGGAAUCUGCCGAGGGUAGAACUUACCUUCGCACAGAGGAACAAGUGGGAUGACGCGUGGCUGACGCAUUGGUUUUAUGUGAGAGUUGAAAUGGCUGGCCUCGGUACUGGAUUUCCAUUCUAUGCACAGUUUGGGGCGAUGGACGUGCUGACGACUCCUUCAUUUAUCCAGACAGCCAUUGUGACGAAGUGCAAAGCUGCCUAUAGGGUUGCUGGGCCCUUGAUAUCUAGGCGUGAUCUUGUGAAGGAGUACAUCGCCGCCCGAGCGUGGCCUUUGUCUGCUGAUUUUGCGAAGCCACUUAAGCUCGUUGAGAAGAAGGUUUCUUGGAGCGAGAAAGCUGUGCCGUUCCCUUGCUUCGAGCUUAACAAGGACGAGGUUGGCGACUUAGACCUGUUUGUACAGUCAGUGGAAGACAUGGCCUACGAGAUUUUGGGUCCGGUGACCCAGCCCGAAAGGCGCUCUUUCGAAUCUAUUGUGAGACACGGGCGGCGUGUCAAUUGGAUUUUUGAUUUUCUUGACAUCACAGUGCCACCUCAUCCCGAGGUUGUGGGCAAGAGGCGCCGUCGGGGUGCUGGUGCUGAGCAAAGGAAGAAGGUGAAAUUUGAUUCUGCUCGCAUGACGAAACUUGUUGUUGAGUCACAAGCAGCCGCGAAGGCGAAGCAAAAAACCCUUAACUUGGAAGCGUAGAAGAGGAAAGAUGCUACCGCGGGAGCUUCAUCUGCCGUGCUGCCGUCUGGGUCGAUGACUUCAUCUGUUGACCUGAGCAGGCCGGCCUAUGUUGUGCCUGUUUCCGUGCGUCCUCCUACUGAUGCGCCUUCGCCCGUAGGCCCUAGUGCUCGGACUAAAAAAGGGGCUAACAAGCCUCGUUUUGCACGCGUUAUUGUACUGGGUGCUAGUGCCGAUGCGCCUUCAGGGGCCAGCAGCAAGAUUGUACCUUCUUCCACAAGCUCAAGGCUCUUUUGGUUAAAACCGAGAGGCGUGAGGAGAGGGUAGCUGCCAAAAAGGCAAAGCUUGUGGACGCGUUUUCAUCUGAUCCUAAGGGUGCUAGUGCCGAGGCUGUUAGAUCUGGUAAGCAUGUAGAGGUGGUUUUGCUGAAGCUUCGGUUCUUUGAUUGCGGGAGGGCUUCGGCGUCCUUUUUGAGGGAUUUGGAGGCAACUAUGGGGGAGGUUGGCGAGGUUAGUUGUGAGGAUCAUGUAAGGCUGAAAGUUAAAUGUUAUGAUGUAGGUGAGAAAUUGUCGGCUGGUCUGCAAGGGCUUAACGAAGGUCUGGGCUUGAGCGAGCACACGGAAGUUCUAGCGACGUGUGCCGAAGGUAGGGUUUAUAAUCCACAUAACCUAAUUUUGGAUUGGGGGAAGGAGGGUGAGGAUUGCAAGCGCUAUGCAGAUGCUGGAGGUUCGAAGAAAGCGGAGAGAGCGGGUGCGGUGGCUUCGGGUAGGGGUAAAGAGAUUGUUCCGGUUGCCGUCAAGGCGCGGGGGUAUGAAGGUAAUAGCUGCUUGUGAGUGAUUAUUGUUUGUGGACUUCGUUGCUGUUGUGGUAUACUUAUGAUUGUAUGUUUGACUCACAGAUUUUCAGCAAUCUGUAAAGUCGAUGAGCUUGGAGGAGCUUUUGAAUUUGGAGGCCAACCUCGUAAAGAAAGUAUGGCUACUGGCCGAUUUGAUGAUACAUGUGAUGUGCACUACCUUUGUUGCAUCUGCUGUGACUUGAUUUAAUGUUUUUUGUUUCAAUUUUGCAGAUGUCUUACUCGUCUAUGAUUACAAGGGAUCGGCUUGCCAAGAGCGAGAAGUCGGCUGCGGAACUUGCGAAGAAAGUGGCUUCACUUGAAGCGACUAUUGCAGCUAUGUCCCUGGAAAUGAAGAAGGUCAAGGUCGAGAAUACGGAGUUGAAAGAGGACUCUCGCAGACUUGACAAAAAUUACGAGGCUAGGGGCGACGAACUCGAACGCUUGUCAUCACAAGUGGUGGAUCUUGAGAUGCUUGUUAAGGAGAAAGACAAGGUUAUCCAUGACUUGCGUGAAGGCGCCUAGCGGGACAGUGAGGUUUUCUUGGGCUUAAAAGCUAAGGUUGGCCAGAUGGAGCCUGAGUUAGAAACAAGGGCAAAGCUGUUGAGCCAGAUAGAAACUACACUAAGGGAGAGGUUCGAAAAAGUUCAUGAAGCUUAUAAAGCCUCCCUUGGUGUGUUUGGCGUUGAACCCGAUGAUUGCCCACUGGACGAAGGAUGUGAGCGCAUGUUCGAAUGGUUGCUAGACGAGGUCAAGAGUCUCCUCGAGGUUCUUGAGGGCCUGAACGACUACUCCGCCGUGUUCUGCCUAGAAAGCGCCCUUCACUUGCUGGAGCAACAAGGAUGCGAUCAUAUUAAAAAUAUUUCCGAGGACAGUUAUGUUGCGCCAGCUGCCCAAGAUAUUGGAUGCGCCACAAAGUCUUUUGUUGUGGAGAAUGCGAAGAAGAAUUUAUUCGAGCGCAUGUGGUCAUCCUCCGGGCAGAAAUACGUGAAGAGGUUGGCUUGCGAGCGAUUAGCUCAGCUUCGUUCGCAGCCUAGUGCUACUAAUGAAGAGGGGGAUGCUGCGGAGUAGAUGGUUUAUUCAUAGACUCGUUUUUGUUUUUUGUUUUUAUGUAAAGGUGACGAGGUCAAAUACUUUUGAUUGUGUACGAAGUUAUGCCUUAUGAAAUACUCAUGUGCCUGUGCAUUUUGGUAAAACUGAUGUGGUUUAGUUGCGCUUAUUCGUGGGCUAACUGAAAGUUUAGAUAAGUCGAAGCUGGGUUGCCAUGUGGGGCAACCCGCUGACUUAGUUGUUGCGAGAGCUGGUUGAUACAGCGACUUGCGGUCGCUUCAACCAUAAUUGUACGCGUCGCUGGAUUUACGCUGGUUGACCUCGUGCGAGGUUGGUGUGGUAACUUGUUUUUGGAAGUGGACGUGUUUGGAAGUAUUUUCGAAAAAUGUCACCCCCCCUUUUGUGACAUUGCGAGAGAGAGGUUAGAUAACUUGUGCUUGAGGACUCUCCUCUUGCGAGGUUGCAGAGACUUUCCACGUUCUUUCGAAAAAACAUCGUUGGACCUCUGCCGAGGCUGUAUACGAGAGGCUUGUUUUUUGCAUGUUGGAAUGCGAUUUUACACAACUUGUUGUUUGCUUCUCAAACGAAAUGAAACGAAAAACUCCUCCGCGCACCGGCGUGAGGUCACGCAACUUGCUGUUGCUUUUUCAAACGGGAGACUCCUCCGCGCACUGGCGCGAGGUUACGCAACUUGUUGUUGCUUCUCAAACGAAAAACUCCUCCGCGCACUAGCGCGAGGUUACGCAACUUGUUGUUGCUUUCUUACACGAAAAACUCCUCCGCGUACUGGCGCGAGGUCAUGCAACUUGUUGUUGCUUUUUCAAACGAGAGACUCCUCCGCGCACUAGCGCGAGGUUACGCAAUUUGUUGUUGCUUCUCAAACGAAAAACUCCUCCGCGCACUAGCGCGAGGUUACGCAACUUGUUGCUUUCUUACAUGGAAAACUCCUCCGUGUACCUGCGCGAGGUCACGCAACUUGUUGUUGCUUUUUCAAACGAGAGACUCCUCCGCGCACACGUGACUUGUUGUUGCUUUUUCAAAUGAGAGACUCCUCUGCGCGCUGGCGCGAGGUUACGCAACUUGUUGUUGCUUCUCAAACGAAAAGCAUUCUUAGGGGAAAUCUUUUUUCUUUCUUUGUAGAAAAGGUGUACAUGGAUCUGCCUCAUUAAAAAUCUUGCCUCCGUUAUGGAGCCCCUAGCAAGGAAAAGAGUGCAGACCAGACCCUAUGACCUUACAAACGAGGUAAGCUUAAAAGAGAAAGAAAAGGGUAAAAUCACUUUGUUGCCUUCGGCGCUGCUUAUAGUUCCGCAGGCCGGAGGUAACGUGUACAAUUAUGGGUAAUAUCUUCAUAGACUGUCGAUGUUCCAGGUGUGUGGGAGAGCGUUUCCUUGUUGGUUUGUGAGAUGGAAGGAGCCGGGUCUGCCACUCUUUGCGACAAUGUAGGGGCCUUCCCAGGCCUCUUGCAGUUUGCCUGGGUUUUCCCAAUUCUUCUUCCUUUUGAUGACGAGGUCACCGACAUUGAUCUGUCUUUCUCGAAUGCGUUGAUCCUUCCAUCUUCGGGUUUCCUCUUGGUAUUUGUCCAGGUUUUCAAUGGCCUCGUUAAUGUCAAGCUCGAUCAUGUCUUUCUCUAUUCUGGCGAUUUCGUCGACGUCGCCGUGCUUGAGGACUCUUAGGCUCUUGUUUUUUAUUUCUUUAGGUGUUACAGCUUCGGCUCCGAAUAAGAGCUUGAAUGGGGUGAAGCCUGUUGCUCUGGAUUGGGUUUUUUAUGGGACCAUAUGACUCUUGGGAGCUCAUCGACCCAUUUUCCCUUUUUCUGAUCGAAGAGACAUUUCUUGACUGCUGUAAAUAUCAUGAUGUUGGCCCUUUCCACAGCUCCGUUUGAUUAUGGGUGGUAUACGGACGAGAAUUUUAUCUUUGUGCCUAUGCUGGCGCAAAAGUUCGUGAACGAAAUGCAAUCAAACUGCUUGCCGUUGUCGACGGUUAGCUCCCUUGGGACUCCGAACCGACAGACAAUGUUUUGCCAGAAAAUUUUUUGCACCGAAGCUGAUGUGAUGACGGCAAGUGGCUUGGCUUCGGCCCAUUUAGUGAAGUAGUCUAUUGCCACCACCGCGAAUCUGCAAUUUCCUUGUACUGCUGGAAGUGGACCAACUAGGUCCAUCCCCCAUCUCUGGAGAGGCCACGAGGGUGGUAUGAGCUGGAUGGGGAGUGAGGGUGUAUGUGUUUGCCUUGCUGUUUUUUGGCAUGCUUCAUAGCUUCGUACAAGUAGAUGUGCGUCCGUGUGGAUUGAUGGCCAGUAGAACCCUUGUCGGAUUGCUUUUCCUGCCAGGGCUCUUGAACCAAUGUGAGCUCCACAGAAGCCGCCGUGUAUUUCUUUGAGCAGUUCGCUGCCUGUUUCAUAGUCGACGCACCGAAGCCAUGGUGUUGAGAGGCCUGUUUUGUAUAGCUGCCCCUCAAUGAUUGCGUAGCCCCUUGCUCUUUGCUUUAGGCGUGUGCAUUCAGCUUCGUUCUGAGGUUCAAAGUGAUCUCUAAGGAAAGCCAUUAUGCUUGCGUGCCAGUCGUAAUGCUGGAUGGCAUUGAUGGUAGCUAGAUCUUCUUCUUUGACUGAGGGUGAAGUUAUGACUUCGUAGAAUGUAUCUGGUGGAAUUGGCUCGCCUUCCGCUGCUGCCUUUGCGAGCUUGUCGGCAUCAUCAUUUUGUGCUCUCGGUAUGUUUCUGACAUCAAAUCCCUUGAAAUGUUUUUCCAUGGCUCGGACUGCCUGGAGGUAUUUGAUGAGUUCUGGUUCUUUGGCUUCGCUAUCCUCUCGAUGUGAUCACGGGAUAUCUUCGAGUCCGUUCUGAUGAUAAAUGUUUGCUGCCCUAUGGCUUCCAUUUUUCUUAAAGCCAGGAGCAGCCCCUCGUACUCUGUGGUGUUGUUGGUUGACUUCGCAGUUGGUGGGAAGUCCAGCCUCGCUGCGUACUUGAUUCUGACGCCUGUUGGCAAGGUCACCACCGCUGCGCCACCUGCUCCUCUACGGCACCAUGCUCCGUCACAGUGGACGACCCAUGGCGUUUCUAGCUGCUUUGGUUCUUGCUUAGGUGAGGUCCAAUCAACGACGAAGUCGGCCAGCACUUGGAAUUUUAUAGCCGUGCGCCUUUCAAAAUCGACGACAAACUCCGAGAGCUCAGACGCCCAUUUGGCGAUGUGGCUAGAAGCUUCUCUUUUUGAGAAGAGAUCAUGGAGAGGUUGUCUGAUUACCAUGACUAUUUUAUGCCCCUCAAAGUAAUGUCGUAGCCUCUGUGCUGCCAUGACAACCGCAUAUGCGAUUUUUUCUAGUUCAGAGUAGUGCAUCUUUGAACCGCUCAAUGCUUCGGAUGCGAAGUACACUGGUAUCUAUUUGAUUUUGCCUUCGAUUUCUUUCUCUUGGAUCAACGCAGCGCUGACAGCUGUUGCUAAGGCUGAUACGUACAGCAGCAGUGGUGACUUGGGCUCUGGUGGGCAUAGCUUCGUCAUGGAAUGCAGGUACUCCUUGAGGUCCUGGAAUGCUUUGCUUUGCUCGUAUCCCCAUUCAAAUGUUUUGGAGCUUCGGAGUGCUUUGAAGAAAGGAAGGCUUCGCUCUGCUGCUCUCGGAAUGAAGCGGUUUAGCGUUGCGACCCUGCCUGUAAGCCGUCGUACCUGCUUGAGUGAUGUUGGCUCUGACAUGUUGGCUAGCGCUCUGAUUUUGUCUGGGUUGGCCUCAAUGCCCUUCGUCGUUACCAAGCAACCUAAGAUCUUUCCCCUUUGGACUCCGAAUACACAUUUGUCUGGGUUUAACUUUAGGUUGGCUGACCUCAGGUUAGCGAAUGUUUCUAUGAGGUCCAUGAUGUGGUCGCUUCGUUUGGCGCUUUUUACGAUGAUGUUGUCUACAUAGGCCAAGAUAUUGCACCGAAGCUGACUGUCCAAGACUGUUACCGUCAUUCUUGAGAAUGUUUGGCCUGCGUUUUUUAGCCCUCUGGCAUACGGACGAAGCAGAAUGUUCCAAAGGGUGUCACGAAGCUUGUUUUGCCUUUGUCCUCUUUUUGAUUCUGAUCUGGUGGUACCCUGAGAAGAGGUCAAGUAGCGAGAGCAUUUCGCUGUUUGCAGCGUCAUCUACCACCUUAUUAAUUCUUUCGAGAGGGUAGUCAUCUUUUGGGCAGGCCUUGUUGAGGUAUGUGAAGUCUAUGCAUAUUCUCCAUUUUCCAUUUUUCUUUUUGACUGGUACUGUGUUGGCUAGCCAGUCGGGGUACUGGAUUGGCCUGAUUAUGUUAGCUUCGAGUAGCCUAUCAACUUCGGCCUUUACUGCUUGGACUUUCUCGUAGGACAUUUUUCUUAGCUUCUAUUUCAUUGGCCGAGCUCCUUGUCUGAUGUCGAGGCUGUGCUCAAUGAUUUCCCUGUCCACUCCCUUUAGAUCACCUGCGGACCAAGCGAAGAUGUCUUUGUUCUUGUUGAGGCACUCGACGAGGUCACGCUCUUCAUCUGGGUUGAGAUUCGCCCCAAUUGUUAUGAAUCUGUCUGCGAUGUAUCUGUCUAGGAGUACCCGCUUUGUUUCGCCGUCCACACUGAUUUUUAUCUUCUCUUUAUCUCUCUUAGGCUCGUUGUGGGCCUUUUGCUUUGCUAGGCUUUCGGCUUCGUUUGAUGAGGCUAGAUGGUGGACAUUCUUUUGGCCCGGGGCUACCCCUUUUUCUAUGUUCCUUGUCAUUUGCUGAUCACCGUAGACCGUUAUGACCCCUUUGAGGGCGGGUAUUUUCAUGCAUAGGUAUAGCUGUCUGAUUGUUGCGUCCAUUUUGGUGAUGAAGUCACGGCCGAGUAUUGCGUUGUAGGGGUAAUGCAUCUCUACCACGUCGAAGGUGAUGUGUUCUGUCCUCGCAUUAUCACGGUCCCCGAACGAAACUGGGAGGGCAAUUUUUCCCAAGGCCUUCACUGGCUUUCCCCCGAAGCCGAGAAGCGGGACGUCAGCUGGGUCGAGCGUGUUCAUGUCAAUGUUCAUCUCUCUAAAUGCAUUUGCGAAGAGAAUGUCCGCGGAGCUGCCUGUGUCUACUAGGACUUUUCCUACUGUCCAGCCUGCUAUCAAUGCUUUGAUAACCAUCGCAUCGUUAUGCGAGGUUGUCUUGAGCUUGAAAUCCUCCCCGGUGAAGGUUAUGAGCAUGUGUGCCCAUUCUGGCUUUGUUGGAGGUCCGUCGGGAAUGAUCACGUUGACCUCUCUGAAGUAGUUCCGCCUCUGCCUCUUGUUUUCGAACUCUAGUGAGGAGCCUCCGGGGAUUGGCAUUAUCAUUCCGAAGGUAGGUAAGGAGUUUUGGUUAUUGUUUUGUGUGUUGGGUUCCGGCUUGGGCAUUAUGGCUGGCAUGCUUGGGGGUGGGGGUAGUGUUUCUUGGGGCUUUUGAGACGGGUUUGAAUUGGGGUGCUGUGGAAUUGUUUGGUGGUAGGGCUGUAUGUGUGGUGGAAGAGGCCAAGUCAUCGGUUGUGGGAAGUUGGCGAAGCUGGGCUAGUUGUGGUAGAAGCUUGGGUGUGCGUAAAAAGCUGUGUGGUGGAUUGUUUUGGGCGCCUGCGCGUCUGCCUUCGCAGCUUCUUCCGCAGCUUUUCUCUCCUCCUUCUUUUUGGGGCACCACUCUGUGUUGUGAUGAUUCUGAUGGCCAUGGUUGACACAGUAAAAUGACUUUUGUUGUCUUCCUCGACCUCGUCCUCUGCCAGAGUGGCCCCCUCUUUGGGUGUUAUUGUUUUGGUUUUGGCUCUGGUUUUGGUUUUGGUUUCCCUCGAUGUUCAUGAUACGGUUUUUGUUUUUGUUUGGGUUUUGAGGCUUGUUGUAAGGCGAAGGUUGCCAGCUUCGGUUUUGGUUUGUUUGUCUCUCUUUGUUGCAUUCCGCCACUCUUCUGUGGUGGUCCUCAUCGGACCUGAUGUAUUCAUCGAGUUUGCUGAAGAGGGCAGUCAUAGUUUUAGGCUCCUUCCUUGACAGUUUUGACGCUGUUGGGCCGGGGGUUAGGCCCGCGAUGCAAGCGGAUAUUGCUACAGAUUCCUCAAUGUGCGGUGCUUGAGAACGAAGUUGGACGUAUCUUCUUACAUACUCUGCAAGUGGUUCCUUGUCCUUUUGCUUGCACUGAAAGAGGUCUGCCUGGGCCGUGUGAGGGUGAUGGAAACCCUGGAAAUUUUGAGUGACCUUCGUCUUGAGAUCGUGCCAGCUGGUCACCGUGUGUGGAAGGAGUAGUGAAUACCAGUUCAACGCCGCACCCUCACAAGCAAUUAUGAAAGAUUUGGCGAGGACGACGUCAUUCCCCCCGGCCGAAGCUACAGCGGCUUCGUAACUCAUUAAGAAUUGCCGUGGGUCUGUGCGCCCGUUGAAUUUGGGCAAGGUGGUUGGUUUGUAAGUUGUUGGCCAUGGUACAGUUUGUAGCCCUAUUGAGAGCGGCGAUGUUGUGUCGACCACAAGGGACACCCCCGGCGAGUGGUGCUGGGUGCCUUGGCUGAAGUUGGGGCUGGGCUGGAGCUGUGCCUGAUCGACAGUGGGACUUUGAUAAAAAUAAGCUGCGGCCUGGUUUGCAUUCUCGAGUGGGCUUUCAAGCUCCGCGACUUCUUUCUGUAGUGCUUCUAGCUGCCGCCUGGCCUCGUUCAGCUUUGAUAAUCUGGCCGCAGCCUCCCUCUGGUGUUGCACUUGUCAUGCCAACUGCUCCUUUUUUCUUUUGACCUCUUCUAUCUCUCGGAGGACUGAGUCCAGUUCGUUGUCCAGGAUGGAAGGGCCAGUAGCUUUGGGUGUUGUGGGCUGGUGGCCAUCAGUGCGGUUAGCAGCUUCAUUUGCCACAGGUUGGUGGCUUUGGUGGUUGACUUCGGCUGCGGGCUGGUUGCUCAUGGCCUUAGCCCUUAGGGCUUGUUCGACUCUUGCAAGGCAUUCCUCCUUGUCGAGGAGGACUUGAUAUGUGACUUCGGGGGCCGUGAGCUGAUUGGCCUCGUCUGUGUUGUCUUCUCUCUGAGCUGUGGGUCUUUUUUUUUCCGUUGUGGUGGCAUCGUGGGCUGUUUAACGAGUUAGACCACGGUGGGCGCUAAAUGUUGGGGUACACCCAAACAAUAGGAAGAACGUUACAACAAGCGAGGAUAACGAUCGUUUCGGACAAACGUUGCAGUAGCUAUCCUAUCAGUGAUUAAUGCCCUCCUGGGGGGGACGGUUCACCUCCCUUUAUAGGGCCAUAAAGUUACAUUUCCGUAUUCCCGUUAUACCCAUACUCAACCACUACAUCCUAAGAAUAUUCCGUACAGUACAGUAACUUGAUUCCUAUUCAAGAUGUCGCUUUCUCGGUAAAAUUACAUAUCCAACCUCUUACAAGAUUCUUAUUUCGGUGUCGUCCUGCUGUAAAGUGGUUCCCGAGCCGUCUUAAUUACCCUCUUCCUCAUUCAUAAGCUUCGUCGAGACCGAUCGAGCUUCCGUAGACUUCCCACCUUCUUUGGUCGAAGUCAGCUAACUUCGGCUUCUGGCCACAGAAUCUUCCCGAAGUCAAACCGCUGAGAGCUCCGUGGGGGGUUUAACUUCGCGAGUCCUUGCCUGCAAAACAACAGAGUGGACACCUUCGUGAUAGUUGACUUCAGUUAUAUACUAGCUUCGUAAAGGGGGAAGGUGAUGAGGUUAGGGUUGAUUAGGAGAGAGGGUCCCCGCCAGCGCCGUUCAGGGUGUGUUGUGGGGCGGUCCCCAACAGCGGAAAGCACAAAAUAAGACACUACUACAAGGUAUGAGGGCUAAGGUAAACAUAGCCGAAAGAGCCUGUGUCAAGUUUGAGGGAGGGGUCUAGAUCCAUUCCGGACAAAAAAAAUUCUAUUAGAAUAUCAAUGUGCAUGGAGAGGUUUAGUUUGGUGAUGUCGAUGGACUACAUAUGCACGGAGAUAAUGAUCAUUAGCGAGGAAAUUGGCUUGCUCAAGGCGUAGAAAAAGAAGAUGGUGCAUUAGUGUAGUUGCUGAGAAUGACAGUGGGAGUAUAUCAAAUAAAAAAACCUACACAAAAACUGGAUUAUACGUGAUAAAAAAUUUAGUAGGAGAGCAUCAAGCCGGUCCAGUUCAAGAUGUCCAUCGGCUUUAGAUUCUGAGCUAAACACACUAAAAAGUGACCACUAUGAUAUCAAAUAGUAUAGUCCAUGGAUCAGAUGUGCACCAAGAUCUUGAUCAUCAAAGAGAAAAUUGGUUUGCUCAAGGCACAAGAAAGAAGAGGGUACAAUGAUGUACUUCACCACUAUGAGAAAAAUAAGACAGAAGUCUAGAGAGAAAAAGUUGCAUGUUAUUAUUACCAAUUAGUAUGAUGGAUGAAACCAUAUUGGCCGCGCUAUUAGCACAAUAGAGCCACCUUGCUAGUUAUAUUAAUAAGGGAGUGUUAAAAGAAGUCACCAUGUUCGCUGAGAGAGUCUAGAAAUUUUCACGUUAAUCCAAAAAAAGAAAAGAAUAUGCACCGUUGAAUUUUAUGAAGAUCUAAUGGCCUAGAUUAAUCCAAAAAAAUCAUGUCAAAUACAAUUAAAAGUAUUAUAUUACUACUAGAAAGGGAAAUUAGUAAAAAAUAUAAUAAGAUAUAAAAAGGAAAGAAUAUGCAAGUAAUAAGAUACGCAACUCUAUACUUAUUUCUCAUGUACAUCAACGAGACAGCGACCAGAUGUAGCAAAAAACGAAAAUUAGCACUUGGUGGUGUUUUUCUUUUUAUAAGGAAACAAUAGAGAGACAAAUGCCACCUGACCUGAUUAUUCAUUGCAGGAAUCUUGUCUAUCAUCGCAACCUCCAUUUUUUGAGAUAAAGCAUGGAGAAAAGAGGUAUACGUGAAAGUAAAUUGUGAAGUAAUACAUUUAUUUAUUUUAUACAAUACAAUCUUUAUCGGUUACUAACUUCUAUUCUUUUGAAGUGAUACUAAUUAUCAUUUAGAGUUAUAUACUUCAUCACAGAGGCAAUAUAUUAAGGGAUUUUUUGUCCGCAGCACACCACGCCAAAUGACCAUAGUAUGAUUUUGUGAGCAGCACAUCUCACUCAUCGAUUUAGUCUAUGAGACGUUGCCAAAACAGGUAUUUGUGUGCAGCACAUCGUCUCCAUUAAACAAAACUUUUUUCUAGCUGAAAUCACAUAGCGCCCAGUAAAAUGACCAAAAAGACCUUAGAGUGGGUCCCAUUGUCAUCCCCGACCAUCUCAUUCACCCUCCGUCUCUCUCUCUGUGCUCAUUCUUCUCACCUUAGCGCGGGCUGUGCUGGCUCUUCUUGGUCGCCUAUUACGACUGGCCGGCACAGCAGCACCGGCGCCAUGGCAUGUCUGGCUGCACGCCCGUGGUGGCAGGAGAUGAGCUGCGGCUUUUGCUGCUGGUGUGGCGGCGCCGCCGGCUGUCACCUUAGCUCAUGCUGAAGUCGUGCACGGCCGCCCAACGACUCCUACGAAUCGAAAUCGCUGGUGCCAGCUUAUCCUGCGGCUGUAGCAGCCCGCAUAUUCUGUUGGAGCUUCGAUCGCGAUGUCGCAUACGUCGUCUGCAGUGCUAGCCAACUAGCAUACGUCACAUUUUUUAGGCCUAUUUAGAAGCGAGGAGGAGCCCAGCACGACUUCAUCCUAGCAGUUACAAACCAGUUACAUAGAAAUACAAGUCUUCAUCUAUAUUUGAAAGGGGCAAAUUAUCAACUAGCAGUUUGGGGAAUUCACAGAGUAGAGCGAAACAAUCUGUUUGCCCGUGGAUCACAUGUUUGGGCAAAUUGGUGAUCGCAUUGCACAACUAGCUGCUCUAAUUUAUCCAAGGCUACAACACAACUAAAAUUUAUGGAAAGAGCAGAUAGCAGCGACCGGUGAGCAGCAGGAGGCCUAGUCUGACAACGGCGAGGACGUAGCGAGGAGAGGACGAGUGGCUCAUUUAGUAGCCCAGCAGCGUAGUACACUGGCGGGGAUGACGAUGAAAACGCCCAAGACGAGAUCCGCCAUUGCCGUCAUCCACCACCCUGUGUCACCGACGGCGUCUGACGAUCGAGAUCCCCCACUCAUGACUCAAUACAGGAAUCGCGGGCGUCGGAGGGAUACCGGGAUUCGCCAACAUGGCUCAGUUAGGCCUUCUCUCGUCGAUAGCAAAGCGAAGGCAGAAAAGAAGGUUCUUUGCUUGUUGCUGUGCAGUUGGUAUCUACAUUCUUUUCCUAAAGCUGGAGCGAUUCUUCAUUUCUUCUCUGUUUCCGAAUAAACUUUGCGUGUCAUCCACGCGAUUCUUUGCUCCCCUGACAAAAUGUGGCCCUUCGUCUCUUUCCCCUACCGACAAGGAAAGCCAAAACAAACAGAGUAGCAGAGUAGCAGAUCAUCCUGGCUGCGCGAGAAGAGGUGCAUUCCUUCGUCCAUUUUAGUUGGUUGUUAGAGGGAAUGAGGGAGGCAUUUCAUUCUGCUGUCUCACUUUAUGCUACACUGCAUUUGCAGGCGUAUAUCAGUGAGAACUCUUUCUGAUCUAUUGGCUCUGGCUGCUGCUUGAAGUAAUUUUUACUCUCCAUCUCAAGGAAGAACAAGGUCAUCCUCAUCAUUCUGUAAAUACAAGAGGCUCUAAAAUUCGAAAUUUGCUUGAUUAUGAUUUGUCCACAAACACUUCCCACCCAAACAGACCAUUAAACUUGAUGCAGUAAUCUUUUAUUAUAUUGAGACUGAACAUCCUAUUUCUUAUUCUUGAUUCAAUCACCCCCUUCUAAUCAUUAUCCAUCAUUUUCUCCUUUAUAGCAGAGAUCUUGGGCCUUAUAAUUCUUUCGUGGUGAUGGGCUCAUCAUAAUUAUCUGUUUUCCAUUUCAUUAUAGUGAAUUUCUUGAAGUGAUAAAUAUUCAUCACUCUCCUUGUGCAAUUGGUAGCAUACUACAGUGAGGAAAAGCAGAGGAGGAUGCUGAGGCAAUGUGGUUUGGGAGAGAGUACUGUCUUUGUAAGAGGUGCAUUUCCUUUAUUCCUUAUGCUCAUCACUGAUGCUGAUGCUCCACUAACUGUCCCACCACUUUGCAUCAUUUAGCUCCACUGAUGCCCUGUUCAACAAUGACAUAUCUACAGCGAAUAUUGUCCAUUGGAUGGUUGGAUGGAUACUCUCUUCUUAUACAAGGUUAGGUCAUUGGAGGACGGCACUGAAAUUGCAACCUUUGCUGAGAUCCAACGCUUUUGCAAGGGGGAAGUAUUGGUGAAUCUGUACACUGUGCUAUCUAUAUACACACUUCCUGCACGAUUUCAUUUUCUCGCUGCUCAAGUGAUGUCAAUAAGAGGAGGAACAGGGAUGAUGGUUCUGUAGGAAGUGCUAUUUGGGUUUUCAACUGCCUCCUCUGUUUCUGCGUUGUUUAAUUUGGUAAGCUCAAAUUGAUUGUCUGGUCCAUAAAGGGUUCAUAUGUUUUCUUUCCUCUCUCACUCUUCAUGUACCUAGUUUUCUGCCAGAGAAUUCAUUUUCUCGAUGCUCAAGUGACGCCUCAGUACACUUGUUUUCUGCCAGAGAAUUCAUUUUCUCGAUGCUCAAGUGAUGCCGAUAAGAGGAGGAACAGAGAGGAUGCUUCAGUAGGAACUGCUCCUUGCGUUUUCAUCCUCCUCCUCUGUCUCUGCAUCAUAUCCUUUCAGUUUGGUAAGCUCGAAUUCAACAGUUAGUCCAUAACGAUUCAGAUUUCAUAAUCUUUCUGGUCCUAGUUCACGCCAGAUUUGCAUGUGUUGAUUAUGCACCACUUCAUUUUUCUUUCUGUCAGAGAGAUGAUUGAAGAGUGAAGAGAUCCCGUGCGCAACCUUGUGGAUACACCUUCCGCCUGCUGAUUAGUAGCAGCAAAAGUGUAGUUGCUCCUUCAGCUGCACAAUUCAUGUGACACAAGGAAGAUGAAGGUUUUAGCCAGGAAGUGAUGCCUCUCCAGUUUCCAGCUAUCCCUCUGCUGAUUUGCGUCCUUUAGCUCUGGUUUGCUCUGCCGCUGCUCAGGGUAUGCUUUUUGCUCUGCUCUGGGUUGCUCUGCUCAUGGUUUGUAUCAUCAUUACCAUAAGUUUGCUCAUGGUGAAUCAAACAAUCAUAGUAGAGGUUUCUUUUGCAUGAUACCAAAUAUUGUCCCAAAUAAUUACAUCAUUUUAAAGCACAACAUAAAAGGACAGAAUGCUAACUCUUUAUACUUCAUACCUCACUGUACAACUCAUUUUUGUUAAAGAACAUCAUGUACCUAGUUUAUUAGUUUGUGAUCUAUAUGGAAUGGCAUUGUGCAUACUGAAAAUACAAAGGAAAACAAUAAUAAUAAGGUGGCCCAGCAUCGUGGAUAUUUCUUAACCUACAUGCCAUGUGAAUCUUACAGUACAAAUCAAUACUAGUAUAUGUUAAUCUUAUUCAAAACACAAUUCAAUUUUUGAAAACUAUCAUUUUUAGAC
rnacentral:lncRNA from 1 species